rnacentral:lncRNA from 1 species
GGGAGGCGGCGGGCGGGAGCGCAGGUCUGGCCGGCCCUGGCGAUGGCGGACGCGGCGGCCUCCCCGGUGGGCAAGCGGCUGCUGCUUCUGUUCGCGGACACCGCGGCCUCAGCUUCAGCCUCGGCCCCCGCGGCGGCGGUGGCGAGCGGAGAUCCGGGGCCUGCGCUGCGCACUCGGGCCUGGCGGGCCGGCACGGUGCGGGCCAUGAGCGGGGCGGUGCCCCAGGACCUAGCGGUGAGUGGCGGUCGAGACGUGCACUCGAGGCCGGGGCUGCAGGGCCUGUGGGCGGCCUCCCCGGGGGCCUUUGUGAGGGGGCGGUGUGGUGGGGGUGACCCAGUUCCUCACCCCCGGAUCUCCUUAGCGCCCCCCGCCGGCACUUCGGCACCCCGAGCUCUGGCCUGCAUGGCUUCCGCGUCGGGGUGCGCGCCCCAGUUAACCCCCGGAGGGCGGCCUGGGUGCCAGGAGCUGCUGCUUUUAGCCGGCAGGCCCCGCCUCCUGAGCGACCCUUUGCUAGGCGUCCCCUCCCCGCACCCCCCCUCCCGCAACACGCCUUCCGAGCAGGCUUUCGAACCUUGGUGCCGGGGCCCCGCAGAGUUCGGCCGGUGCUGCCGCUUUCCCCUAGAAAACGCGGACCUGUAAUCCCCAGGUUCUCCCCGGAGACCUGCGCCCUGUUCCCUUCCUCCCGGAGUCUCUAGUGGGGCGAGAAUGUGGGCAGUUGUAGGAAGGCAGUUGGAGCUGCUUGGGGCUUUUUUAUCUGGCAGUUACUUCCUCCUUGUCUGAGCCGUGCUGGGCCUGGCGCUCUUCAGAAAGACCAGCUCUCAGGACUGUUUAGAGCUCCCCUAUCUUUGCGCUUCUGGGUGACAGGAGCUGCUGUUGUGGCUUUUUGAUAAGUUUGAGAUCUGACUUAGUCGAAUGGGGCUGCAGGGUGGUGCUUUUUUGCUCCCAGCUUGUCUGUUCCCCCAACCUUGAGAGAGGUUUUGUUUUGAAACUUUGUCGGGGCUUGGCUGCUUUUGCACGCUUGCCUUCAUGUAUUUUGUGAUUAAAGUUGUUCAGCAAAAAACUUUGCCAGCAUUGGGGACCAUAAUGUGUUAGUUUUGUUAAUGUGGCGGCAAAAUACUGUCUUUGAGUUUUAGCCAACCUCAAUAGUUCCUCAUUCUGGUAGCGUAGCCCUAGCCUUCUCUGGUGAGAUAAGGCUAAGAAAAAUGGGGGCGGGGGACUUUUUGGAAUGUAAAGGAUCAACAAGCCGAAUGUAAAUGUUGAUGAAUUUCCUUCUGCAGACCUUUUCUUAGCUCUAAACGGGAACUCAUUUUGUGAGAGUGGGAGUAAUGUUUCUGAUGUUUUUCUAUUGAUCAACAGUGUUAAACUGUCUUUUAUUAUGAUACACAAGCUUUAUGGGUAGUUUUGCUUAGGUUUUGAUUCUGCUUCUUGAGUUCCCUUGCUUUGAUUUUUCUCCAUGCCCUAUAAGAAAGGCUGGUAGGGCAUUUAUGAAGCUUUAGUGGGGCGAAUUUGUAAAAAGAUACCAGGAAUAUAAGGGAGAGAGGGGGAUCCAUGGUUAAGACAGGAAUUUGGAUAUAAAUUCUUCUGUGCUUUCUUUAGAAGGUGACUGGGAUGGGGGAGAGGUAUGCUUCUUAGAUUCAGUAAUUCACCCUGGUAAGCAAAACGUACUUGAGUUUCACCCUUAUGUGCAUUCUUUGACCAGAGGCAUCCUCAGCUCUCUUUUCAGUUGGGAUUUUAUUUUCUAAUUCUUCCAAUGGUUGUUUCCUCCAUCAGUUGAAUUGCUAAUGAGCUCUGCACCUGAAAUGGCUGCCCAUUCACUUUGUUGUUUGCUGGGCUCCCUAAGGGCAGAGGUGUUUGAAGCUCAUUGAGAUGCUGGACAACAUCUAAGCUAAAUACUGAAUAAUUUUACCACUGGGCACGUGGAACUGGGUUAUCAAUCCGUAUUAAAAAAAGCAAAAUGUUCUUACAAACUGUUGAAUUCUUAUAUGAGGCCAUGAAUUUAGAAGCAAAGGCAAGUUUGAGUUUUGCAAAUACAUUUGUGCUUGUCUUGUACAUAUAUCCAAGGGGCGUUAAUGAGAAAACAGCCAUAACAAAACUCAGAGCCUUUUUAUUUUAUUUUAUUUUUACCAGCUUGCUACCCAAGAAUUGCUGUUAUGUUGAGGUCCUAUUAAUGACAGUGACUAGUAGAGGAUCAGAACUAGCAGUUUUGUUUUCCUUUUUCAUUGAAAUUUCCUUUGGACCCUGGGCAUGUGGACCUUUCCAAUUUGCACCACACACUGUAGUAAACACAACUAUCUUCCAAUCACAAGUGUUCUUCCUGUACUCAACGGUGGAGUUUGCAAGCAGCUGCCUCACGAUUGGACAGAUUUUCUUUCAGUUAUGUUUAAGAUGUUUUCAGGCAUGCUUGGUUUUGAGUAAUACAAGGCAGGGCGCCCCCUGUUAAGGAUGAGUAAUUGAGGGUUGGAUUGAAAUGAUUAAAAAACAUACUUUUCAAUUUUAAUCUCCAUUAAUAUCUUCUUCUAAAUACUUUUUGAUUCUAAAGUCAUUCAAAAUACUGAUAUAUUUAAAGAAACCUUUAUUGGGAAACAAUACCAAACCCAUGGGCUACCUUAAAUGUGAUGUGAAAAAAGUUAAUUCAGGAUGCUGUUGGUUGGGAAUUUUGUUGGUAAUGAUCUUAUAGAUGGCCCUCUUACCCAUUAAAUCUUUCCUGAGAAAUAACUAUUAAGAUUUUUAGCCAAAAAUAGAAAAACACCCCCCACCCAGUGGAAUAACAGCUUUGUUAUUAAAAUUAGGCCUUUUAUGUUUAAAAAGAGAAAAGUCCUGUUGCAGAAAUAAGUUUCAUGGAUUUUUAUGCAUUUAUCCCUGGUUCCUCUCUAAACCAGUUGUCCAGUUUGUGUUUCUAAGUCAUUUAUUGAUUGAGGUAAGUCGUGUAGACCUUGGGAUCUUCACAGUGUGUAGGUACAAUAGCUAAAACAGACAACAAUCCCCCUCCCCCCCCCAAAAAAAAAAACCCACCAAAAACAUGGAUUUAAAUUUUUUUUUUUUUUUUAGUUGUAGUUGGACCCAAUACCUUUAUUUUAUUUAUUUAUUUUUAUGUGGUGCUGAGGAUCGAACCUAGGGCCUCACUAGGUGAGUGCUCUACUGCUGAGCCACAACCCCAUCCCCUGAAUUUUCCUUUUUGUUGAUAUAAAAACAAAACUUGCUAUUUGCAAAGUGUUAAAACGGUUAUUCACAUGAAAAUUCAUCAGUCUCCAUCUCUAUAUGCCCUAGUUUGCUAAAAAGGGUAAGUUAUCUUUACUAGUCUUUAUUAAUACUUAUACAAAAUAUGAAAACGUGUAUACAAAAUAUUGCUUUUUUUUUUUUUAAAGUAAAUGAUACCUUCCUGUACCAUAUCUGCAGGCUGCUUUUUGUUUUUCCUUUCAUUUUAUUUUAUUUUUUAGUUGUUGAUGAACCUUUAUUUUAAUAAUUUACUUAUUUAUAUGUGGUGCUGAGAAUCAAACCCAGUACCUCACACAUGCUAGGCAAGUGCUCUACCACUGAACCGCAACCCCAGCCCUUGUUUUUUUUUUAAUAUUUAUUUUUUAGUUGUAGUUGUUAAUACCUUUAUUUUUUUAUGUGGUGCUGAGGAUUGAACCCAGGGCCUUGAAUGCGCUAGGCGAGCGCUCUACUGCUGAGCCACAACCCCAGCACCCCCAGCCCUUGUUUGUCCUUCUUAAUUUAACAUUAUACCAUAGGCAUUUAUAGUGACAUACUUUAACCAUCACCCCCAAGUCCACCUACCGGCCCCCACCUCAGGAAUCCAGGGUCUCUCAAGUGAGAGGAAAGUACUCUAUAUACUGAGCAAUGCCAAAAACAUUUUUGAUAAGUCCUUUAUAUUCCAUAGAAAGGAUGUACCAUAACUUACUCAUUCUUCCUUUUGGCAAACAUUCAAGUUGUUUAAAAGUUUUUGGGGGCACUAAAAACAAUGCUACCAUUAAUAUACUUGUACAUAUAGCUUUAAGUGAUCUAGAUUUCCUUUUGUAUUUUGGACAUCCACAAUUGGGACAGUUAGGUUGAAUAUAUGUGUUUUGAUGUUGUUUUGCCUCUUUUGUUUUGUUUUCCUUUUGUAGUACUAGGUUUUGAACCCAGGUGCUCUAUUCUACCACUGAACUAUGUCCCCAGUUCUUUUUUUUUUUUUUUUUUAAUUUUUUAAAAUUUUGAGAUGAGCUCUCACUAAGUUGCUAAGGCUAGAAUUGAACUUGUGAUCCUCCUGCCUCUGCCACCUGAAACACUGAUAUGACAGGUGUAUACUAUUGUACCUGGCCAAAAAUGUCUUUUUCUUUUUUCUUUUCCUGUUGUGUGUGUCUGUGCACCUGCACAUACAUGCUCAUGCACAUUGUUAGGGAUUAAACCAGGGCCUCCUGCAUGUUAGGUAAGUACUCUACCAUUGAGCUGUGCCUCCAGUCCUGUAUUACAGGUUAUUUUCCUACACAUGAUAACAUUUCAGCCUCACCAACAGCAAGUGUAUAUACUGUUUCCUUCACCAGUAUCAUCAGUCUUUUUCAUUUUUGCCAGUCUGAUAAGUGAAAAUAGUAUCUAGCAUUUUCAUGACUACUGUUUUCUUUUCCUCUGAGUAUUAACCUUUUAUGUUUCUUUUUUUUUUUCUAUUUUUAAGCUAUUUAUGUGUAUCUUUUGCCCAUUUGAGAAAAAUGUAGAUUGUCCUAUCACUUUAUCAGUUCUGUGCAUGGAUUAAAUUACCUGUCUAUAGAGUGUUAUACUUAUUUUGUCUCAGUUGUUUUUUGACUUUGUUUAUCGGUUUCUUUUCAUACAAAGUCUUUUUCUUAAUUUGUUCUUUUUAGAGAUACAUGACAGUAGAGUGUAUUUUGACAUAUUAUACAUACAUGGAGUGUAACUUAUUCUGAGGAUCUCAUUGUUCUGGUGCAAAUAUAGUUCUUAUUCAUCCGAACAAUAUGCUUGUAAAGGACUUCUCCAUGUUAAAUUUUUAUAUUCUUUGUGUGUGUGGUGCUGGGGAUUGAAUCCAGGGCCUCUUGCAUGCUAAGCAGGUGCUCUACCACUGAGCUAUAUUCCUGGCCCUUUUUACAUUUUAUUAUAUUGAGACAGUGCUUCACAAAGUUGCCCGGAUUGGCCUUGGCCUUAAAAAUCCCUCUGCCUCAGUCUUCGAAGUAGCUGGGAUUACAGGCAUGCACCAAAAUGCCCAUUUUAGAACUCUUCUUCAAAUUUCCUAAUAAUUUCAUUUAUUUUUAUCUUUGGAUCUUUGAUCCAUCUGGAAUCUUGUUUUAGUUGGCAUGUGAAAAGGGGGAUAACUUUUUUUAUUCCUACUAAGUAACCAAUUGUGUCAGCACUAAUUUUUAUUAAAUCUUUCUUGCUGUGUGGUAGAAUUAAAUGAUGCUAUAAGUGCAGCAUUGAUUUGUUUUGAAUGUGUAACAUAGACAUCUAGAACUUGAAAGAGCAAGUGGAAGUAUAUCUGCCUUAAUUUUUUAUCCCUUAAUCUUUCAUCUCCAUUUCAGAGGAAGAGGGACUCUAAAAUAUUCCUUUCUUUUGAUUGGAGAUAAUGCAAUAAUUGUAGCAGUGUUCAGGCUAGUACUGUGUUAUUUCAGUCUGGAAGUUUUCCAAGAGGAAUGAAAGUGUAUCUGCCUUAUUUUUUUACAUCAACCUUUCACUUUGUCUCAGGAUGUAGAAUAGGUAGACUCCAAAAUACCUGUCUACCUUGUUUCUAAGUAAUGUAAUUAUAGUCAUAUACCAUAUUUCUAGUGUAGAAUCCAUUCUUUAUUUUCUACCUAUGUUCAAGCCUAGAAUUUCAGACCUAAUCAAAAUGGAGUUUGUGGCUUUUAAAAUGGUUAUCUUUAAGUGUCCUUUUUUUACCAUUUCAAACGUUAAAUAAAAAUAUGAGUGCUAUACAAGGCCUGGGGUUUGAUUCCCCAGCCCCCCCCACCCCCCCAAUAUACACAUACACACAAAAACAUAUUUGAUAUCAUGACAUCUUAUGCUGUUUUUUAUGGCUUAUAGAACUUUAAAUAAAAAUGAUUGUACUUAUUUGAUGAUAAGAAUGUAUACUAUUCAAUUGUCACCUCCUCUAAGCACAAGUAUCUUAACUCUAAUUUUUUUUCUUAAUUAUUUUUGAGAGAGAUUCUCACUGUGUUGCCCAAGCUGGCCUCUGAACUACUAGGCUCAAGGGAUCCCCCUGAUUCAGUCUUUCGAGUAGCUGGGAGUAUAGGGUGUGCUACCACGCCUGACAAAGUUCAUUUUAAAAAAUAUAUGUUUUUUUUGUUGUUGUUGUUUGUACUGGAGACUGAACCCAGGGGAGUUUACUAAUGAUCAACAUCCCCAGCUUUUUUUUUUUUUUUAACUUUUGAGAUAGGGUCUCACUAAGUUACUGAGGUUGGCCUCAAACUUGGAAGUCCUCCUGCCUAAGCCUCCUAAGUUGCUAGCAUUACAAACAUGUGUUCCCAGGUUUGGCUUUUAUGUGUGGUUUUUAAUAACUCAUGUCUUUUUAAUUUUUAUUUUUUGGGGUGCUGCGGAUUGAGCCCAGGGCUUUGUACCAACCACACACUCUACCACUGAAGUAGAACCCCAGCCCCUAAAAGCUCUAUCUUAAUUUAUCUCUGCAUUCUUCUUCAGGGCUAUACAAUAUGUACACCAAUGAUCAUACUAUACAUUGGUCAUUUUGUCUUACAUUCUCUCUUUUUACUACACGGUCAGAUUUUUCCUCUUAAUUAUCCAUUUGUUUGUAAGAACUUGCUUCACUAACUUCCCACCUGCCUAGGGCUCAUUCCCUAGUAUACUACUUUUACUUGCUUGCUUCUCAUUCCAACCUUUUCUGGUUGAUUUUGUUUUUCCUCUAUAAACAAAUGGUAGGUAAGAAACAUGACAUUUUCUGUUGUUGGUGAUUUUCUUAACAACAGCUGGGGUGGGUUCCUAUAGUCUUAGCUUCCUCAAGGCCUAGGGGACAUAACACCUGUUGUUGCUUCUCAGUUUUCCAUUGCCUUUGACAGAUUGGUUUUUUAUUUUUUUGUUUUUUGUUUUGUUUUAAUUGUAGAUGGACCUUUAUUUUUAUUGGUGCUGAGACAUGAACCCAGUGCCUCACACAUACAAGGCAAGAGCUCUACCGCUGAGCCACAAUCCCAGCCCCUGGAUUGGUGAUUUUAAAACCCUCCCAAAUCUGCCAUCCACCCGUACUGCCAAAAUAUAAAAAAUGUGCCUGGUUGGUUGGUCGGUUAUUUAUUUAUUUAUUUAUUUAUUUGUUUAUUGGUACUGGGGAUUGAACCCAGUACCAAUAAAUAAAUAAAUAAUCACUGAGCUACAUUGCCAGCCCUUUUUUUAAAUUUUGAGACAGGAUCUCACUAAGUUUCUGAGACUAGCCUGGAAUUUACCAUCCUCCUGCCUCAAUCAUCCAGGAUGCUAGGAUUAUAAGUGUGCAGCACCAUGCCCAGCUCUUCCUAAGUUUUUAGCAGUGACUUUCUACUGCUGGUUGUUUAGGUGUGACUUCUCUCAAUUUUGCAAGAGCAGAAACUCCUUUGUGUGUGUGUGUGUAUGUGUGUGUGUGUGUGUCUGUGUGGAAGUAAUAAGGCUCUAGGGGACAGACUCACUAACCAAACCCUCUGGAGACUAAAUCAAAAAUCCAUAUGCAGAGUUAUUAAUUUUCAGUGGGAGAUAUAUCUAUACAGAGACCUGCAUGAGAGCUCACACCUGUUCUACUCAAGAGACAAAUUAUAGAUAAGAAGUAUCCUUGGUGUGCAGAGAGUCAGGGGAGGGAAAAUUGGGUGUGGCAAAAAGGAUAUUUACAGCAGCAGCCCUAUUUGGUGAUUCUCCACUUUCCUGGUAUUUAGGGGCUUCCAUUGCUUUACCAUUUGCUUUUAAUGUUGUCAUCCACUGAAAUCCCAUGAAGAGGAAGAAACCCUGCCCAUCCUUCCAGUCUGUCCAUUUUAGGAGCUGCUGCCUCUAUAAAGUCUUUCUGAGUCCUCACCAUAUUGCUUUUAUUCUUUGCUCCUUUAGCACACUUUUGGACUAUUAUUUUAGUUUUUAUUGUUGUAGCUGUAUAGCAAGAGAAAUAGGUUGCUUAUCUCUUACAUAGAUUGAAAGUUCCUGGAAGACAGAGAACACCUGAAUUUUUCUAGUACUAUUUUAUAAGGCCUUCUCUGACCACCCUAUCUAAAAAAAUAAAAUAUUUAGAAGCCUAUAUUAAGUUUACAUUCACUUCUGAUUUUUAUGGAAUUCUACACCAUGGCCCUGAAAAUAAGGUAUUUAGUCCUUUUUUUUUCUUUUACAUAUUUUUAUUAAUAUAUAGACUUAGCAACUAAUUUUGUCUUGGUGUUAUUGGAUCAUGUUUGGGACUCCAACCCAAGCUACAUUGUCUCUUGUUUUUUGUGAUUUACAUCUGGAUUGUUUUCUUAGAUUGGAAGCAUUUGAUAUUCUAUAUUUCUGAUUCUAAAGUAAUACCUGCCUAUUAUACAAAAUGUAUAAGUCUUUUCUUUUUUAACUUUAUUUCUUUAUGUGGUGCUGAGGAUUGAACCAACCCAGUACCUUAUACAUGCUAGGCAAACAUUCUACCACUAAACCACAACCCCAGACUCACAAAGGGUAGAAAUCAUUUUAACAAUAUUAUGAAGAAAGGGGGGGAAAAAAAAAAACUAGACCCUGUAGUCUCACAACCUAUUAGGAACUACUGUUUAUAUUUUGAUAUAUGAUCUAAUCUUAUUUCUGAAGUCCUUGGUGAAGGCUCCAUCCCAGGUGAUUCCAACAGACCAUGCUUUGCAACCCUUCCCAGUGUGACUGGUAAUCAAAAAAACAGCAGUGAUGAAAGGCAAGAAAAGAGUUUUUAAGCUGUGUGGCUACACCUGAGGUUUUAUAGAAAAAUGGAAGAAAGUCAAGUUUGGGGGGCUUGAAUGCCUGAGGCAUUUAUAUUGAUGGUAUAAUUGGUUGUUCUUGGUUAUUCUUGGUCUGAUUGAUCUUUCUCAUCAAUGCUUGAUGGGGUGAUUUGAUUUGCAUCCUGGGAUGAUUCCUCCUCUGGGGUGCAGUCUCAUUUUAGGGUGAUCUGUUCCUGGGAGGCUUGCUGUAGCUUGGGGAUGGUUUCUACUCCUCGUCUUAUAGGUGCUUAUCAACAAGACUAUAAUUCCUGGAAUCCAAGGUGUAACUGUAGAAGAAAGGGCCUCAGAAGGAAAAAAGUAUAAAAGGCAAAUGGAGUUAGAAAAGGACAAAAUGGAGUUGGUUAGGUCAGUGACUAGGUUCUCCUUCAAUCUUUUUUUUUUUUUUUUUAAAUUUUAGAAAAAGUAUAGUUGAAUUCAUACUGCAUUUCUUUUUUAAAGAGAGAGAUUUUUAAAAAUAUUUUUAUUUUUCGGUGGACACACAUCUUUAUUUUACUUAUUUUUUUAUGUGGUGCUGAGGAUUGAACCCAGCGCCCCGCGCAUGCCAGGCGAGCACCCUACUGCUUGAGCCACAUCCCCAGCCCCUCAUACUGCAUUUUUUAAUUUAGAGAUUUGCUUUUCAUUUAAUGUGGCAAUUAUUUUUAUUAUCAAAAACUUAGUUUAUGGUGAUUUUAACUUUCUUGGUGUUUUUCUCAAUUUUUCACAAAUAUUAUAUUGCUUUCAUUACUGAAAGUAAAACAAUAAAUGCUCUGUAAGAAUAUCUUAUGGCUUCAGGCAUGAUGGUGCACACCUGUAAUUCCAGCAACUUGGGAGGCUAAAGCAGGAGGAUCACAAAUUGGAGGCCAGUCUCAGUAAAUUGGUGAAAUCCUGUUUAAAAAAAAAAAAAAAAAACAUAAAAAAGAGGCUAGUGAUGUAAUUCAGUGGUAAAACGCCCCUGGGUUUAAUCCCCAGUACCGAAAAAUAUGUCUUAUGGCUGGGCAUAGUGGACACAGGAUUCUAAGGCGGGAUAAUGCUAGUCCCCAGAAAUUCAAGGCCAGCCCAUUGCAACGUACAACAUUCGAAAAAGCAAAAAACAAAGAUCUUAUGAAUGUAUUUUUUGGCUCAGUGAUUUAACUUUUUUUUUUUUUUUUUAAGAAUUUUAAUAUUUAUUUUUUAGUUUUCGGCAGACACAACAUCUUUGUUUGUAUGUAGUGCUGAGGAUCGAACCCGGGCCGCACGAUGCCAGGCGAGCGCGCUACAGCUUGAGCCACAUCCCAGCCCUGAUUUAACUUUCUCUUUCAUUAAAUAUUGAAGUUAUUUCAGAUUUUAGGCUUUAUUAAUAAGGUGAUGAUGAAUGUUUUUAUGAGUAACGUCUUUUUAUGAAUUAUUUCAUAGAAUUAUUUUUUAAGUUAUACCAGUUUAUAUCCUUACUAAUACUGUCAAUUUGUUUAAGGAAUGAGUCAUUUUAUCAGGGGCCUAUGUUCUGCUAGGCAUUUAACAGCUUUAUUUAUGUAAUCCCUAUAGACAUCUUUUGAGGUCCUUAUUGUCUCUAUUUAUAGGCAAAGGAGGUGAGGCUCAAAGAGUCUAAUGUAGCCAGGUCAUGGUGGCACAUAGCUGUAAUCCCAGCUGCUCAGGAGGCUGAGGCAGGAGGAUCACAAGUUCACAGCCAGCCUCAGCAAUUUAGUGAGGCCCUAGCCCUAACUUGGCAAGAUCCUGUUUCAAAAUAAAAAGGACUGGGGAUGUGGCUCAGUGCUUAAGCACCCCUGGAUUCAAUCCCCAGUACCAUAAAAAAAAAAAAAAGCUAAUGUAACUUACUUUAGGCUUAGGCUACACAGGUAAUGGAGGAGUUGAGAUGUAAAUCCAGAUCUUUAUGAUUCCACAGCCUCUAAAUCACUAUACAUGUUUGAAUUUUUAUUCAGAUUAUCACUAUACUAUACUUAGCUACUUUACUUUUAAUUUCUUUAGGCUGUUAGAAAAUAGGCAGGGGCAAAGAAGAGGGGUAAUUGGGAUAGUUUGGUAGAAAGUGCUCUUUACCAAAGGCACUCUAAAGAUAAUAUUAUUGAAAAUAAUAAUAUUCUAGACAUGUAUCAUUCCCCAUUUUUGUUGUCAAGAUAUCCCACAGAUUUUGAAAAUUAUUUGUAACAGUUCAUGCUUUUUUUUAGCUUUUUUUUUUUUUUUAAGAAAAUCGGAGAAGUUAGAAACCUCAAAAGUUCAUCUCCAUUGCCUUAUCCUCUGACAAUCAUUGCUAAUACUGUUGUUUUUAUCUCUUAAUUUCUCAAAUAUACUUUUCAUUCCUAUAGUUUUAUUUAGUCUCUUUCUUUCUUUCUUUGGUACCAGGGAUUGACUCAGGGACACUUAACAGCUGAGCCACAUCCCAGCCUUUUUUUUUUUUUUUGAGACAGGGUCUCUAUAAGCCUGCUAAAUUGCUGAGGCUGGCUUUAAACUUGAGAUCUCUUGCCUUAGCAUCUGAGCUGCUGUGAUUACAGGCCUGCAUCACCAUGCCUCACUAAUUUCAUCCUUUAAAAAAAAGUUAAUUGUAUAACUAAUAUAUAAUACACAGGUUAAAGAGGAAAAGAAAUAAGGCCUGAAAUACUGUUAACCAUCCCAUUCCAAUCCUCCUCUUCCCUAUAAUUUCCUCAACCCGGAUAGUCUGCAACUUGCUUUUUUCUCCAAGUAUCUUGAAAAUCUUUUUAUGUUAGUUUGUUAGACAAAUCAAUCAAUUGAUAUAUCUCUCCCUUUCCCUUCCCCCCCUUCCCUCCCCCGCCCCCCCCUCUUUUCAGCACUGGGGGUUGAACCCAGGGCCUCACACAUGUUAGGCAAGUGCUUUAUUACUCUGGCUCAAUAGAUGUAAUUUUUGAAAACUCUGUGUUAUUUAUUCCAUAGUAUUGGUUGUAUCUUUUUAUUCAUUCGUUUAAUUAUGAAUUGCUUUGUAAUUUCAUUUUGAUUUCCUAUUUAAACUGAGGGUUAAGAAGUUUAUUCCCCAGGUGGCAUUAUCUUCAUAAAAUAUUUUUUCCACAUAAUUUUAAAACCAUCAGUGAAACCAUCAGUGGCUCUUUCAAGCUCUAUAAUGGGCAUCAUAUACUCAGAGACAUCCAGUGACUUACAAAGAAUUGAGUGACAGACCAAAGGGUGUAGUGGGACUGACAGUUGGUAGAGAGUGUAGAAAUUGCCUAAAGAUGUUAAAAUGCACUUUAAAAACAAAACAGAAAAACACUGAUGACCAAAUAAGAAACUUUUACCAACAAGUUUCUCCUCCCCCGCCCCCCUUCCCCCCUUCCCCCACCAUACUGUGGAUUGAACCUGGGAUGAUCGACCACUGAGCUACAUCCCCAGCCCUUGUUAUUUUGUAUUUCAAGAUAGGGUCUUACUGAGUUGCCCAGACUGGCCUCGAAUUUGUGAUCCUCCUGCCUCAGCUUUCUGAGAGGGCCAACAAAUUUAAGUUUGUUAUCCAUUAAUGUACUACAGAGCCCUUUUACAGCUUACUUACUAGCCACCUUCCCUUUCUCCCAGAACACACUAUCUUUUAUGUUUCUCUGCCUUUGUCUGUGCUGGAAAAUUAUUCCCUCCUUCUCUGCUAGAAGAAUACAGCUUGUCCUUUAAGACUUGCUAUCAUACUCCUACAUCUUCUGUGAAACUGUUUGAGUUGCCCAAGACAGAUGUCAGUCUAGCCUAAUGGCAGUUUAGAUCUUUAUUACUGCUUUUUAUUACAUAGCUUUGUAAGAAUUUCUGUACCUCUCUUAACUCAUUUGGGGUGAGUCCUUCUUGGCAUAUGCUACCUUAUUUGCCUUGAUAUUCUUAGGCUUGGCAAGUGCACACAUGUAAGGGGCAUUCUGUUUUUAUUGAUUGAGUGAAUAAAUGAAUAAUCUUACUAACGGUAGUAAGAAUGACCUUGUGGAAAGCCAGAAUCCAAACUCAUGGCUACAUGACAAACAUGAAGUCCUAUAUUGCUCAGAUUACUAAUUCCAGAUUUUAUCAAAAAUAAAGGUAAUUUAUUUGAUUAAAAAAAAAAAAAAGGCUGGGAUGGGGCUCAGUUGUAGAGUACUUGCCUAGCAUGCUUGAGGCUUUGGGUUCCAUCCCAAGCAUAGGGGGAUAGGAGUAUAGGCACAGCUUUAUUUCAGUGUUGAUAAAAUUAAUAUAAAUCACAUACAGACCUUAAAGGGAAAUUUGAAAGCACGAGUUUUAAUACUAACUCACCUUAACUCAUGAAAUACUUCAUCUCUAAUCCUUGGGUUCUAUCGUAUGUAUAGUACUAUUUGCUACUUUUAUUCAGACUUGUAAAAAUCAUCUCAAACUGUGUUUGUCGUAUUGUAUUAUCCAUCUCCCUGGUCAUCUCUGGCUGAACAUUAUUUUAUAUCCUUUCUACUUGUCCCGUAUCCUAACCUUCUACCAUUUUGAGAGUCAAACUGUGUUCUAUUUGCUUUAAUUUAAAAUGUUUCUUUACCUUCUGUUUUCCAACUCCUUUUAUUUCUCUGAGAAGAAAAGUAUAAUACUAGAGAGCCAGAAAUCAGUCUUACUUACAUGUUUACAAGUAUCCAUGGUCCACAUUGUUCACAAAACAGAUUCUUAUCAUUAUCCUAGAGCAAUUGCUUGAUCCCAUAAUGUAUAGUACAUGGUUAUUGUCAGUUUUUAAUAAACCCUUAUUCCACAUCCUUUGUCCAGGCAGUUUGAGAUAAUUGCCUUCAAAUUAAGUGAAACAUUUCCUGAUGUUUUCAUCUGUCAUGAUAGAAUUCUGUGUUUAAGUUCUAUGUGGGUUUUUUUUGUUUGUUUGUUUGUUUUUGUUUUUGAGAAGGGUCUUGCUGAGUUGCUGAGGCUGACUUUGAACUUGCUAGCCUCCUACCUAAGCUGCCUGAGUUGCUGGCAUUAUAGAUGUGCACCACCAUACCUGGCUGGAAUUUUAUGACUCCUAUAUUGAUUUAAAAAAAAAAUGGUACUAGGAAUUGAACCCAGGAGUUCUUAACCACUGAGCCCUUGGAUUAUAGUUAUGUGCCGCUGUUCCCAGUUUAUUUUUUGAGACAGGGUGUCUCCAAGGUCCCAAGGCUGGACUUUUAUUUGCAUUCCUCCUGCCUCUUCCAUCUUCGGAGGGGCUGGGAUUAUAGGUACCUGCCACCUUACGUGGAUUCUAUGUUGAGUUUUAAAGUGGUUGAUAGAUUAGAACUCCAGAAUGACACCUACCUGUCAGUUACUAUAGAGCCUCAACCUCUGGUUUUCUGAGUGAUGCCUGAAAAAUAUCGUCCCUCAAGGUUAGAUCCAGCCUAGGCACUGAAUAGUCUAUGCUCCUUUGCGUGGCUUUUCAAGUUCUUUUCUUUUUAUGUUAGUUUGUUAGUUUGUUAGUUUCCAGCAGUUGCUACCUCCUGCCAUCAGUUUGUCUUCAUCUAGUCUCUGGUUCAAAAAUCCAAGUCAUUUUUAUUUUUUUUUAAUUUCAUUUAAUUUUAAAAUUAAUUAAUUAAUUAAUUUUUUGCACUGGGGGUUAAACCCAGGGGCACUUUACCACUAAUCUACAUCCUUAGACCUCUUAUUUUUUGAGACAGGGUCUCACUAAAUUGCUUAGGGCCUUGCUGAAUUUCUGAGGCUGGUCUAGAACUUCUGAUCCUCCUGUCUCAGCCUCCCCAGCCACUGGGAUUACAGGUGUGUGCCACCACGUCAUUUUUAAAUUCUCCCUUCUAUGUAGGCCAGCCACCAAGCUUUGUAAUAAGGCUCAUGGAUUCUUACAAACCUGAGUCACUUCCAUCUUUGUCUAUCCCCACUCUAGAUCACAUAAGAACACCUGCUCUGCCCUGCCCCACCCAGCCCACAAAUGCUUAACCUUUUAAUUGCAGUUGUGUUGGCUUCCACACUCACAAUUUUUUUAAAAAAAUAUUUUUUAUUUGUGCAUUAUAGUUAUAAAUAAUAUUGGGGUUUAUUUUGACAUGAUUAAUACAAGUAUGGAAUAUAAUUUGCUCCAUUCAGUCCCCAGUACCUCCUUUACUCUUCCUUCCUCACUCCCCUUGUUCCCUUUCCUCUAUACUACUUGUCUUUCUUCUAUUUAUUUAUAGUUUUUUUUAAUUAGUGCAUUAUAGAUAUAAAGCUGAAAUUUAUUGUGAUAUAUUCAUAUGUGUACAUAGCAUAGUUUUAUUACACUGAAUUGUUUUUGUUUUUAAAGAGAUGGGAUCUUGCUAUGUUGCCAAGCUCUUGGGCUCAAACAAUUUUUCUGCUUCAGACUCUUUCAUAUCUGGGGCCACAGGCUUGUGUCAUUGUAUCUAACUGUAGUCCCAGUUUUUAGUUUGUGUUGUUUGGUUUGUUUUGCAGUACUGGGGAUUGAGUCCGGGGGUGCUCUACCACAGAACUACAUCCCUUUUUUUUUUUUUUUUUUGGUACUGGGGAUUGUACCCAGGGGCGCGUAACUACGUAGCUGCAUUCCCAGCCCUUAUUUAUUUUUUUAUUUUUUAUUUUGACAAGAUCUAGCUAAAUUGCUGAGGCUGGCUUUAAACUUGUAAUCCUCCUUCCUCAGCCUCCUGAGCCCCUGAGAUUAUAGGCCUGUGUCACCAAGUCCAGCACCUUCCCUUUUUUGAGACAGUCUGGCUAAAUUUCCCAGGCUAACCUUGAAUUUGUGAUUCUCCUGCCUCCUGAGUAGCAGAGAUUACAGGCAUGUGUGAUUGUGCCCUAGCCCAUGGCCUCAGUUUUCAUCUCAGUAUUCAGGUAUUUUCCAUAUCAACUCCUAAUCUUUUAAAUUUUAUUUCCCCACCACAGUGCUAUGUAGUUCCUGGCUAUCCUAUAACUUUACCAAGGCUUUGGUUGGCCUCAGCCCCUUCCAGUCCCUCUGCAUACCUGAAAUGAUUUCUUUACCUCUGAAGCCCACCAUACUUUAUUUAUCUUAUGUCAUAUUAUUGCCCCCAAAGAGCUUUAUAGUUGACUAAAGUGCAUUUGAAUCUGUUUUAUUUAAUUUUCACAACAGUCUAUUAGGUAAGUAAGACAGUGUCUUAUCACAAGUGAGGAAAACUGAGCCAAGAUAUGAUGAGGGAAUAGUAAGUUGCCCAAGUUUUGCAGUUAGUAAAGCAUGGCACUAAGACUCAUCCAUGUCUCCUGUGCAUAAGCCCUAAGCUUUAUAUAAUAUACUUCUACUACCUUUCUGAGUGUCUGAAUCUGAAUGUGCACGUAAAUAUAAGUUUGAAUAUUUCUCUCUUUCCAAUUGACUGUUAGCUAUUUGAAGGUAGGUACUAUGCCUUAUUCCCCUAGAAUAUAUAUGUGUAUAUACGAGUGAGCAUGUUCAUGUCCAGUUCAAUGUUCUCUUUCUCUGUAAAAAUCAGCCUUCCCCUGAGUCGUGCUUCCCCAUUAUUUUUUUUUAAGUAGAUAGGAAACUUACUUUGCAUACAAUAAAUAAUAAAAUUACUAUUUUAUAUAAUGAAUUUAACUUUUGAUCUUUUCAUUAAUAUACUUCAAUUUACAAGGUAUCUGAAGAAAUUGAUUAAAAGCUAGGCUACUGAGCUAUCAUUCUACAUUUUCAAGUAUUAUAAAUAUCAUGAAUUUCUCAUAACUUUAUAAUUUUUAUGUUAGUUGCAUGAGAACAUACCACAAAAGCUAUUAUGAGGGCUGAAGAUACAGCUCAGUUGGUAGAGUGCUUGCCUCACAUGCACAAGGCCCUGGGUUCAAUCCCCAGCACCACAUACACACACAAAAAGCUAUUAUGAAUAGAGUAAAAUAAAUUCCAUUUUUUAUUAUGGGGAAGUACACAAUAUUUUCAUAACCAUUUUAAUGGAUUUAAAUUUUAUUAUAUCACAUUUAUUUAUUUAUUUAUUUAUUUUUGUGCUGGAAAUUGAACUCAGGGGCACUUGACCACUCAGCCACAUCCCCAGCCUAUUUUGUAUUUUAUUCUUUUAUUUAAAGACAGGGUCUCACUGAGCUGCUUAGCACCUCACUUUUGCUGAGGCUGGCUUUGAAAGCGGGAUCCUCCUGCGUCCACCUCCUGAGCCUCUGGGAUCACAGGCAUGCGCCACCACACCUGGCUGUCUACAUAUAUUUUAAAUGGAGGACUGAGGCUAUAUAGCUCAUUGGUGAGCACUUGCCUAUUAUGUGUGAGGCCCUGGGUUUGAUCCCCAGCAUUGAAAGCAAAAGAAAAAAAACGUUGGUUGAAUUUUUGCCCGCUGUGGUUGUAUAUUCCUUAGCCAGCCAGGAGAUUAGGGCAGGUGGAUCACGAGUUCCACUCUAGCCUGGGCAAUGAAUUUAGUUGCAAUGAAAAGGGGAGGAGGGUUGGGGAUGUAUCUCUGUGGUUGAGAGCCCCUGAGUUGAAUCUCCAUUGCUGUCCUUGUUUUUGUUUUUGUUUCCAGUACUGGGGAUUGAACCCAAGAGCACUUUAACAUCAAACUACAUACCCAGUCUGUUUUAUUUUUUAUUUUGAGAUACAAUCUCAAUAAGUUGCUGAGACUGGCCUGAAACUUGUGAUCUUUCAGCCUCAGAUUCCUGAAUUGCUGGGAUUGCAGAUGUGUUUGUGUAUACCACUGCUUCCACAACCAGCAAAAAAAAAAGGAAAGAAAAAGAGAAAAAUGAAAGCUGCUAAUACAUACACAUACAAGACCUCUAGUAUUCCAUCUACAGGAAAUGCUUGGUGCUCCUAAUACUUGCAGAUCCUCUUUGGUAACUCUAAGUUGCCAGUUGGGAUCCAUAUUUGCAGGGAUUCUGAUAUUAUUCUGAAUUACUCAGUGUUACCAUAGGAAAUUUCAUGUGAGAAAUUUCUUACAGAGCCAAGUAGUUGAAAUAGCUUUGCUCCCCUGAAUAAUUGCUUUUUGAAUGAUUUCUUUUUGAAUAACUUGGCUUGCAACUGAGCUUGUCUCCUUUUUCACAUUGGUAUUUGGGAAGUUCAGAACCAAAUAUGUCACUCAGUUGUAGCAAUUGUAUUGAUCUUUUCUGCAUGAUAAAGUUUUUCCACUUUGAUAGUGACUUUCCAUUGUCAUUUUCUUGGCUGUGAUUUUUAAAUUUAUCUUUCAUCAUUUUAGUGCAUGUAUUUCCCAAAAGCCAUCUAAAAUUCUUUAAAGGUGAAUCAGGAGAUAAAUAAAUCUCUAGCCCUUCAUUUGUGACCAUGUUUGGCACUGGACAUAUCUAUUUUAUAUAGUGAUGCCAACAUGUGUAUGUCUUGAUCUUCAUACUGUGUUUAAUUACAUUCAGAAGUGAUUAGAAAAAUGUAGUCUCAGGCUGGAGUUGUGGCUCAGAGGUAGAGCACUUGCCUAGCAUGCUUUUAAGGUACUGGGUUCGAUCCUCAGCACCACAUAAAAUAAAAUAAAGAUAUUGUGUCCACCUAUAACUAAAAAAUAAAUAUUAAAAAAAGAAAAAUGUACUUUCAUUUGCUACAAAUCACUUCCAAGAACUCUUCACAGUAUCAAUUAAACAUAUCUUGAGAAGUAGAGUAUACAUCUAUUUAGGAAGGAAGCAAAACAUUGUGACUACAGCACGCCUUGGCUAGCAUUUAGAGAUUAUUGCUGGCAGUAACAAUUAAUAAAUCCACAGGUGGGUGUGGGAAGACAACUUCUUUUUCUUUCAUUGCCUAUCCUUUUGAAAUUUGUACCAUAUACAUAUGUCACCUAUUCAAAAAACUAAUAAAAUAAUUUCUCAGUCAUCUUUAGUAGAAGUACUAAAAAGUUCUCUUUCUAUUAGACUAUGAGCACUUAAAAAUGGGAGUUCAUAACCCACUUGAAUCUAAUGUAUGAAAUAUGAUAUGUCAGGAGCUUUGUAAUGUUUUGAACAACCAAUAAAAUAUAUAUAAAUAAAUAAAUAAAUAAAUAAAAUAGACUAUGAGCACUUGGAGACUAGGAAGUGUAUGAGAUUCAUCUCAUCAUUCCUGAACCUAGCACAGUAGUUUACACAUAGUAAGCCCCCAGCUUAUGUGUGUAGAUAUGAAUUGGUAAAUGAAAAUUGCAAGUUUCAGUAGGGACAUGACCAGAAAUUACUAAAGAAUUGUGUGUAUAACUCAUGCCCCUUUUAACUCUGUACAUCUGUUUUAGAAUGAGGCUGAAACCAGCUUCCUGGCUUUGAAGUAACAUCUUUUUUUUUUUUUUUGGUGCUAUGGAUUGAACUCAGGAACACCUGACCACUGAGCAACAUCCCCAUCCCUUUUUGUAUUAUAUUUAGAGACAGGGUCUCACCAAGUUCCUUUUGCUAAGGCUGGCUUUGAACCUGCGAUUUUCCUGCUUCAGCCUCCCAAGCUGCUAGGAUUACAGGCGUGCACCACCACACCCUGCUGUAACAUAAUUUUUAUUGGUGCCCUUUAAAAUAACUUUAAAAAGUUAUUUUUCCCAGUCACUUGUUCAAAGUUGUUUUGUUUAUGUGUUACAGUAUGGGAUUUCAUCAAAUGUAUCUUCCAAGCUACUUUUUAUUUUUUCUUGCAGAUCUUUGUAGAAUUUGAUGGCUGUAACUGGAAGCAACACUCCUGGGUUAAAGUUCAUGCUGAAGAAGUUAUUGUGCUUUUGCUGGAAGGGUCACUUGUAUGGGCACCCCGGAAUGACCCAGUCCUUUUGCAGGGCACUCGAGUCUCAAUUGCACAGUGGCCAGCCCUGGUGAGUAGUUUUUAUUAUUUUUUUUUAUUUGGUCCUAGGGCUUAAUUCCAGAGUCUAACUCAUGCUAGCCAAGAUCUCUACUAAUGAGCCAUACCUGUAGCCCCCAAAUCCUGCCACCUACUACCUCAGGUCUGCCAGGGUACUUGUUAGGCAAGUGAUUUCACUGAGCUGUAUAUACCCUUGGUCCCUGAGUGGCCCCUAUUGGGUAGGAACAUAUUUGAGCUUUCCUAACAUAACUAUAGUGUUUGCCCAGUAGUGGAACUCUUUAGAAUUCACAAAACCCUACCUUAAAGUUAUGAAAGUAAAAAUUAAGAGAGAGCUUUUCUCUUCUGUGUUCUCCAAAACACUCUGAUAAUAUUUGAUACUGUUUAUCUCUAAAUAAUUUUUUCACUUUUAGUCUUUUCUCAUAGCAAGAUUUGAAAUAGUGUAAUCCUCAAAAGUGUUUUGUAAUUAAGUUUUGUUUUUUGAAAUGAAAUGAAAUAGUAUUAUAAAAUUCUGAGAGUAUCCAUUUGUUUUUAUCUAUCCUGUUAGAUAAAUGGCAAUUUUUAAAAAAUCCUAAUUCUCCUGUGGCUAAUCAAAUUAAAUAAAUAAUAUUCAAAGCAAAUAUUAUUUGACCUAUUGAUUAUACAUAUUAUUCCUUGCUAAAUUGUCUUUUUCUUUUGUAUGUGUCAGGGGGUGCUGGGUAUUAAACCCAGGGCCUAGCACAUGCUAGGCAAAUGUUGUACCACUGAACACAUCCCUAGCUUUUUCUUUUUUAUGUUUUUAUUAGUGCAUUAUAGUUAUACAUAAUAUUGGGAUUUAUUUUGACAUGAUCAUACAUACAUGGAAUAUAAUUAUCUUUAUUUCAGUCCUUGGUACUUCCCUUUUCCCUCUCUUCUCCUUCCCCUCAUUCCGCCUUCCUUUUUCUAUUGGUCUUCCUUCUAUUUACUUAUUGGUUUAUUUUGUUGGGUUUUUUUUUUUUGGUUUGUUUGUUUUUGUUUUAAUACUGGGGAUUGAACCCAGGGCACCUAACCACUAAGCUACAUCCCCAGCCCUUUUUAUUUUUUAUUUUGAGACAGGGUUUUGCUAAGUUGCUGAGGCUGGCCUGAAAUUUGUUAUCCUCCUGUCACUGGGAUUACAGACGUGUACCCUCAUACCUGUUUUUGUUUCUUUGGUACUGGGGAUUGAACCCAGAGGUACUUUAUCACUGAGUCACAUCCCCAGCCCUUUUUUAUAUUUUAUUUUUAGACAGGGUUUCACUAAGUUGCUUAGGGACUUGCUGAGUUGCUGAGUUUCAUUUUUUGCCACUUUGCCUGGAUUAUUGUGUUUUUAAAUUGGUGCUUAAUAGGUAUUCAUAAAGGGAGAAUUCACAUGGAGUAUUUAUAUAUGUACAUAGCAUAAUUUGGCCAAUUUCAUUCCUCAUUUCCUCCUUUUUCCUGUCCCUCUUCCUUUCCUCUCAACCUCCUUCUGUUCCAUUGAUCUUCCUUCUGUUUUCAUGGAGUUCCCCCCACCCUCCACCUUUUCUUCCCUUAUUUUGCCCUAGCAUUCUCAUAUGAGAGAAAAUAUUUUGACCCAUGGCUUUCUGAGUCUGGCUUAUUUCUUUAUGGCUGAGUAAAAUUCUAUUAUGUACAUAUACCACAUUUUCUUUAUCUAUUCAUCUGUUGGUGGACACCCAGCUGGUUCCAUAACUUGGCUAUUGUGAAUUGUGUUGAUAUAAACAUUAAUAUGCCUGUAUUGCUAUAGUAUGCUGAUUUUAGUUCUUUUGGAUAAAUACCAAGGAGUGGAAUAGAGUGGGUUAUAUGAUGGGUCCAUUCCUAGUCUUUUGAGGAGUCUCCAUACUGCUUUACAAAGUGGUUGUACUAGUUGGCAGUUUGCAGUCCCACUAAGAAUGUAUGCAUUUCCCCAUAUCCUUGCCAGCACUUUUUCAUUUGUUGUUAUUUUUGCAGUACUGCAGAUUGACUGUUUUGUUUUUGUUUUGCCGUGUUGGGGUUUGAACCCAGAGCUUCACACAUACUAGGCAAGCACUCUACUACUGAGCCAUGUCCCCAGCUCUUUUCAUUAUUUAUUUUUUGGUACCAGGGAUUGAACCCAGGAGCACUUAGCCACUGAGCUACAUCCCCAGGCCUUUUUUUUUUUUUUUAAUUUUGACACAGGGUCUCACUAAGUUGAGAGGCUACUCUUAAACUUGCAGCCUUCCUGCCUCAGCCUCCUAAAUCACUGGGAUUAUAGGCAUGUGCCACCAUACCCGGCCUUUUCAGGUAUGGUGAAAAUACCUGUUUUGUUUUUGUUUUUUGGUACUGGGGAUUGAACUAAGGGGCACUCAACCACUGAGCUACAUCCCCAGCACUAUUUUGUAUUUUAAUAUUUAUUUUUUAGUUGUAGUUGGACACAAUAUCUUUAUUUUAUUUAUUUUUAUGUGGUGCCGAGGAUUAAACCCAGUGCCUCAUGCAUGUAUGUAUGUGAGGCAAGUGCUCUACCACUGAGCUACAACCCCAGCCCUGGUAUUCUGGGCAUUUACUGAAAUUUAGUCCUCUUGAAGGCUGAUAAGAUUAGUCAGAUCCCUAAGGAAAAUGAGGAAUUUUUAAUCUCAAUUGUCCUUUUUAGCCAUAAAUAAAAGUAUUUUUUAAAUUUUUAUUUUUAUAUGGCAGUGGAAUGCAUUACAAUUCUUAUUACACAUAUAGAGCGCAAUUUUUCAUAUCUCUGGUUGUACACAAAGUAUAUCCACACCAAUUUGUGUCUUCAUACAUGUACUUUGGAUAAUAAUGAUCAUAAUAGAAGAGUAUUGAGCAAAGUUUUCUACGUUAGUUUGCUUCCUAGGGACAGAUGCUAGGCUAGAAAUGUUUCCAAGGACUUAAACUUUAGUUUAUCUGUAUUUACUAGUGUGAAAAUAUAAAAAUAAUAUAAUAAUGAAUACUUUUUCUGAAGUAGGGAUUUAUUGAAUUGUUAUUGGUUUUCAUUUCCAAGUUCUAAUCAGUUUCUUGUCAUUAUGCUUCACAGACUUUCACUCCCCUAGUAGAUAAACUGGGUUUGGGUUCUGUGGUGCCAGUUGAAUACCUUCUGGAUCGAGAACUUCGUUUCCUGUCAGAUGCUAAUGGGUUGCAUCUGUUCCAGGUACUUUACACUUAACUCUGGUCUUGAGCCUAUUAUUUUUCUCCUUGCUAAUUUCUUUGUUGAUACAAAUACUGGUGUUUCCCUUUUUCUUAGUGUUUCUUUGAUUUCCUUCAAUAAAUUCCCCUGUGCCUUUUAAAGUUUCUCUGCUUCCUUGCAAAGUACUGAGGCUUCUUUCCUUUUCUGUAUAACCCUGCUCCACACUAAAGCCAUUGAAGACUUAAGACCACAAUUCUGAGGGUCCCUUCAGAAGAGGUGGCUUCAUUGAGUUGGUUGCUUCUGUAGUAUGAGUCCUAGGGGCCCUAUGCAUACCUUAGUGGCAUGGAAGUGGGGAGGAAUGUGGAGUGGUUCCAUGCAGUGUGAAGUUUUGAAGAGCUUUUGGUAUAUCUUUAGUUUAAAAAAAAAAUGGGAUAAGUUAAAUAGUUGAAACAAACUAGCUUCUGAGUUUGGGUUUCAGAAUUUAACAAAGUACUGUUUAAUUCUCACUUGUAAGGGUUACUAUCUGAAGGUUAAAAUCUGAGAGACUUCUAAGAGUUUUAUUCUUAUCAAGAAAGCCAAGAACAGUGUUUCCUAAACUGUUUUAUGUAUAUUAAUGUAUAUUUCUUUUUGUUAUAUAGUCCUCAUGAGACCUCACUCUCAACAGUCUUGCUUUAUUCAUCUUUAUAAUCCCAGAGUUUAUAUGAGAAUGGCAUUCAGGAAAUGUUGGAUAAACACCAAAAUAAGCAAAAAGGUUUAUAUGGAGUAAAAUGUUUUGUGGUCAAAUAAGUAUGUGAAACCCUGACUUAAAUAUAUUUCUUUUCUCUAUGAUUUCUCUGAACCUUGAGUAUGAUGUCGUAUACAGAAACAUAUAUAAAUUUAGGCUUAGGAAAUAUCAUGUUCUGCAUGUAGAAAGAUAUAAUAUGUAAUAUUUUCUAAGCCUCAUUUAUACUAGCAUUUUUAAUUCUUGCAGAGAUUCUCAUGAGACUAGAAUUCUUAAGGCAUUUUUAGCAAGUGUUGAUAUAGAACUCCUUGGUAUGUGAUUUUUCUCAUUUAAUUAGAUGUUAUUGCUAUUUAUUUUAACAUUCAGUUGUUUUAUCUUUACCAGAUGGGAACCGAUAGCCAAAACCAGAUUCUUUUAGAACAUACUGCUCUGAGAGAAACAGUUAAUGCUUUGAUCAGUGACCAAAAGCUACAAGAGAUAUUCAGCCGAGGUAAGAACAGGUAGUCUUCUGUCCCUGAACUCUGAAUCAGGUGAAUUGUCAGUUUUGAAUGAUAUAAUGGGACAUCAUGUAGCUUUAAACAUUUGUCCUCAUCCUCUUUUUGUGAGUAGAGACGAAAGUAUCUCCGAUUAGCUAAAUCUCCAAAUAAACUAGAAAAAUAGGAUCUCUCCAAGACCAUUGUUUUCUCUCUCUCUCUUUUUUUUUUUUUUUAAUAUUUUUUUUAUUUGUUGAUGGACCUUUAUUUUAUUUUAUUUUUUGUGGUGCUGGAAAUCAAACCCAGUGCCCUGCAUGUACGAGGCAAGCGCUCCACUGCUAAUCUACAACUCCAGCCCCCCAUUGUUUUCUCUUCAUUGUACUUUUCAUAAACCAUAGUUUUGUUGUAAGCUUAGUUUUUUUUCCCCAUUUUUAAAAUAUUUAUUAAGGACACUAGAAAUAUUUAUUUAAAAACAUGCACUAGAAACAAUGUUAAGGCACUAAUGAUCUAGCCAGUAGCUAGAAAAUCUUUACCUAUUUUUUUUUUUUUUUAAUACACCCAAGGGCGCUUAACCACUGAGCCACAUCCCUAGCCCUUUUUUUUAAUUAUUUUUUAUUUUGAGACAGACUCACUAAGUUGUUUAGGGCCUUGCAAUCCUCCUGACUCAGCCUCCUGAGUUGCUGAAAUUACACACAUGUGCCAUUGUGCCUAGAGCUGACUCUGCUUUUUUUGAAUUUACUAUCUGCAGGUUUCUAAAAAAUCUAGGACUAGCUGGGUGUAGUGGCUUACACCACUAAUUUGGGCAACUUGGACAGCUGAGGCAGGAUUGCAAGUUCCAGGCCUAUCUCAGCAAUUUAGUGAAACCCUCAGUAACCUAGUGAGAUUCUGUCGCAAAAUAAAAAAUAGAAAGGUCUGGGGAUGUAGCUCAGAAAUGAAGCACUCCUGCGUUCAAUCCUCAUUACCAAAAAGAAAAAGCUAAAGACUCUUAACACCAACAUAUAACUUAGAGUGCAAAGUAUGUUCAUAAAACAAUGCAUCCACAGACUUAUUCACAUGAAUAGUAUGCUUUAAGUAUAAAUAAAUGAACAUAGGGUGUAGCUCAGUGGUAGAGUGCUUUUGCCCAACAUGCCAUAGCCCCUGGGUUUGAUCCUUAGUAACAAACAAACAAACAAAAACAGAAAGAAGAAUUAUUAGUUUUCAAGUUCAGAUACCGGUUUUGCCUCAAGAGUCUAUACGAAGAGUAAACUACUUCAUUUAUCCUUCCUUUCAUGUCAUGCAUUCACUCACCUUCAUUUCUGGGCCUUAUGAUAAUCAUUAUUUUUAGUGAAGUAGUGUCCUUGGUUCUAUUUUUGUCAAAUAAAUCUAAACAGGUGAAGUUAAGAAUACUGACCUAAUGGAGAAAAAAAGAUAUCAGGAUAAAAUGAUGUUUAAUAAACAAGGAAUGAUAUAGAGGAAGAAAGAAUGUGAGGAAAAAUUAGUAACAGAAGAAAAUUGAGUGGACAAAAUGAGAGGUGGUGAUAUGUGAGUAUAUACAGAGAAAUUAAGGAAACUUAAUUAUAGCUCUAAGAAAAUAAUCUAAAAUUAGUAAUGCUUUAGCUAUAUAGUCUCAAAUGUACAAUGAUAUGUGGGAGAGAGAAACUGUCCUUGGAAAGACCAGCUGAAAUUGCAGGGUAACAUUACCUGCUGAUAAAGUAAUAUUUUUGAAACUCUGUGUUCCUAGGAAGACAGGUGCUAUAUUUGUUCAGACUAUUAUUAGUGCAGAGGCUAGAAACCUCAUAAAUUGAACUCUCAGCUGUUAUUGAAAGUCAGAUAGCAGAAUGUUAAUGAUUAUGUAUCAUUCCUGUGGUGGUUUAUCCUAAUAGCACAUCCAAUGGGACUGGGGGUUUAGCUUAGUGGCAGACAUGUACAAGGCUCUGGGUUUGAUCCUCUGCAGCACAAAUAAAAAAGAAAAAGAGUACAUUCAACUUAGUGGUCUCCUACUUUUUUCAUACACAUGUCAGGUAUAUGAGUAAAUUUCCAUAUUACUUGUUGUUGUUGUUGUUGUUUUAAUUUGUAAGUUUCUUUCCCUUUGAAUAUUACAAUUAUUAAAUUGUUGAAUAUAGGGGCUAGGGAUGUUGCUCAAUAUCAGAGUGCUUCCCUGGGAUGUAUGAGGACAAGGGUUCUAUCCCAACAUCUCAAAAAGACUCAAUGCUGAGUGUGGUAAAUCUAGAAUUGCUACUUUGUUAGCUCUGUCAAGGGGCAGAUAUUUGAAAGUGCCAAGUAUUUCCAUCAUGUAGUUUUCCUUUUGCUUUCAGAAACAGUUAUGAAACAUAACUUAGCCAAAAAUACAGUUUUGACUGAUCUCUUUUUUAGGUCCCUACAGUGUUCAAGGUCACAGGGUCAAAGUGUACCAGCCAGAGGGGGAAGAAGGGUGGAUCUAUGGUGUCGUAAGUCAUCAGGACUCCAUCACCCGUCUUAUGGAUGUGUCUAUAACUGAGGUGAGGCUGUGUUAAUUCCAUCUAAAUUCUAUCAGUCCCCUUACAGAGCAUGGUGUAAAGAAUGUGAAUACUUUAUCCCUGGCUCUUAUCAUUUAAUGAUUGUAUAACCCUUAGAAGGGGUGUGCAACUUUAUCAUCCCACUGUUCUCAUCUUUAAGUUAGAAGUAAUUGUGUAAAACCCCACUUACCUCACAAUACUGUUUUGAAGACUGAAAUAAUAUAUUUAAAAGUGCUUUGAAAUCUGUAAAACAAUAUGCAGUUGUAAGGUGGUAAUAUUUAUCAUAUUCAUAACAGUUUGUAUUAAAGACCAAUUAGUUAGCAUUGGCUUCUGUAUUACUUUUGCCACUAUAUCCUAGAUGCUGAAAAAAAUUGCUUUUAAUGAACAGAAAAGAACCUAACACCUAAGAGAUACCUGGAGAAUUAUUUAGGAGAAACAGUAGAUGAGUGUUUCUUUUUUUUUUAAUUUAUUUUUUUGGUUGUAGUUGUUAUUUAUUUCUUUCUUUAAUUUUUUUAAAAGUUAAAUAAAUCUUCAUUUAAAAAUUUCAAAAAACAUACAUACAUAAACUAGAUAAUGAAAGCCAACCUUUCCCCUAUGUAAAUGUCACUCAGUGGCAACCACCAUUAACAGUUUGGUAUAUAUUCCAUAUUCUUUUUAUUUUUUGUUUAUUUAUUUUUAGUAUUUAUUUUUAUGUGGUGCUGAGGAUGGUACCCAGUGCCUCACACAUGCUAGACAAGUGCUCUCCCAUUAAGCUAUAUUCCAUAUUCUUCCAAAUAUUUUCUAUAUAUGUAUUUCUGUAGGUUAUAUAGUGUAUCUUAUUUACUUAAUUGUAUAUAACCUCCAUUUUUUUUUUCUUUUUUUUUUUUUUCCUGAUACUGGGGACUGAACCCAGGGGCACUUUACCGCUGAGCUACAUCUCCAGCGUUUUUCUUUUUUGUUGUUGUUGUUUUUUUUUUGUUACUUUGAGAUAGUGUCUUGCUAAAUUGCCAAGGUUGGCCUCAAACUUGCAAUCCUCCUGCCUCAGUCUCCUAAGUUGUUUGGAUUACAAAUAUGUGCCACUAUACUUGGUUUAUAACAAGCAUUUUUAAUCUUUAUUUGUGAAUAUAGAGAUGUGAAUUUUUUUUUUUUUUUUUUUUUUUCUCCUUUAUGGUACUGGGGAUUGACAAUACCCCAGCAGUUCUUUUCACUGAGCUACAUUCUGGGCCUUUUUAAAUUUUUAUCUUGAGACAUGAUCUCGCUAAGUUGCUGAGGCUGGCCUUGAACUUGGAAUUCUUCUGCCUUAGUCUCUCAAUUUGCUGGAAUUAGAGACAUGUGCCACUGUGCCCAGCUGACUUAUUCCUUUAAAAUAGAUGUGUGCUAUUCCAAAAAAUGAAUAUAUCAUAGCUAGUUUAAUCUAAAAUUGAAGGACAUUUAAAUCUUUGCCAGUAUUUUCACUAAUACAGAUGAUGACACAGUGAACAUACUUGAACAUCCUUUCACAUUUAUGAUUUAUUGGAAUAAAUUCCUUGGUUUGUAAUUGCUAAGUUAAAAGAUAUACAUAGUAAAAAAAAAUUUUGUGUGUGUGUUGUUGUACUGGGAAUUGAACUCAGGACCUCAUACAUGCUAGGCAAGUGCUCUACAACUGAGCUAUAUCCCCAGCCCUACACAGUAAAUUUGAUGUUUUAUGUCAAAGUACUCCCUCUCCUAAAGUUUGUAUUCUUUAGUAGUAAAGUAGGUUUGUUUGUUUUGGGUGUUUUUUAUUGUUUUGGUUUUUGUGGGUUUGGGGUUUUUUGUUUUGUUUUGUUUUGUUGGUGGUACUGGGAAUUAAUCCCAGGGUCUCAAAUAUGCUCUAUCACUGAGCUACAUCCCCAGCCCUAUAUAAUGAUUUUUGUAAUGAUUGUUGUUGGUUCUGAAGAUUUUUGAUUUCAUAAUAUACUGAAUAGGAAUGUUUUUGAUAUGGAAUAUUUCAAAUUAAAAUCCCUAAAAGACAUACUUGAGCAUUAAACUCAAUUGUUCCUUUUAUUCAUGAACUUAACAAAUAUAUUAAUGCUCACCAUAUUCCACACCGUGUUUCAGAUAUCCUUACUAUAGCAGUGAUUGAGACAGUAAAUAUCCCUUCUCUCAUGGAGCUUUCUUCUAAUAAGGGAAUAGAAGCAAUAAAGAGAUACUUACAUAGAUUAGGAAAAUGUUAAGUCUUGGUGAAUAAAGCAUUAAAUAAUCUCUCUCCCCCACCCUUUUCCCAUAUGUUCUGCUAUCCUGCUGCUACCAUAGAGUGGUGAGAUCAAGUCAGUAGAUCCCAGACUCAUCCAUGUGAUGCUGAUGGAUAACACAACGCCUCAAAAUGAGGUACAGUAAACAACUGAGUCUCUGAGAAGACUCAUGAGCUUGCAUUUUCUUGUUAUGUGGUUUCCUUUUACAUGGGUGCUGCUUGGGUUGUUCAGAUGGACUGUCUUGGUAAGGGUGGAUGGUGUCAAGAAAGAGACCUAGUUUGAGUAAACCCUUUCAAUUUGACUUGUUCUAUAGUUGUUAUAAAGUCUUAAGUCCUAACUUUCUUUUAUAUUUUCUUAAGUAUAUUUGAAAGAGGUAGUAGUUAAAACUGCAAUAAAUGGUAGUAAUAAUCAUGACCUUACCAGUAACUAGAUAUGGAAGAAAAGCUACAUCCUCUUUUUUCCUAUUAGGUGGCACUGAGCUCCAACAGAGUCUUUUUUACUUUUUAUCUUGAGACAGGAUCUCGCUAAGUUGCUGAGGCUGGCCUUGAACUUAGCAUUCUUCUGCCUUAGUCUCUCAACUUGCUGGAAUUAGAGGCAUGUGCCACAAUAGAUGUAUGCUAUUCCAAAAGAUGAAUAUAUCAUAACUAAUUUAAUCUAAAAUUGGAGGACAUUUAAAUCAUUGCCAGUAUUUUCACUAAUACAAAUGACAACACAAUGAACAUACUUGAACAUCCUUUCACAUUUAUUGUUUAUUGGAAUUAAUUCCUUGGUUUGCAAUUGCUAAGUUAAUAGAUAUACAUAGUAAAAAAAAAUUUUUUGUGUGAGUUAUUGUACUGGAGAUUGAACUCAGGACCUCAUACAUGCUCAUAUAUUCCCAAGUAGAAUCAAAUGAACAGGUGCCUAGUUCAGUGCUUAGCACACAGUGGAUUAUUCUAUAAUUAUAGACUAAGCCAACACUUGGUUCAUUUAGAAUUAUUAUAGCCAAAAAUAAAUAAAUAAGCGCAUUAUAAAUCUUUACCUGAACCAAUAAGGAAUCCUGUGUGAGUAUCCUUCAGUAAAUCAACUGUCCACACAUGCCUCAUAGUAUCUUAUCACCUCUAUAAAUAUUGCUUUCUUGCUGAGUAUAUAGUCCUUCAUCAUCUUUUUUAUUAGUUAUUCUUGAUUUAAAAAAAAAAAAGAUCAGACUAAGAAAGGAAGAAUCAGUAUUAAAUUUAAUAGCUUUUUAUUUAUGUAUUAUAUUAAUCAGGAAUAGGUUAAGUCCCUUGACUAUGUUUACAUGGCUGAAAAACCUGUUACUUUGAUGUUGCAUUGGGCUCUAUUUUUAGUCCAUUAUUUCACUCAUUCAUUAAGCACCUAUUGUAUGCCAAAUAGUAUACAGCUAGCCCAGUAUAACUGAAAAGUACUAUACUCAGUGUCCUAGGUUACUUUCUUGCAUGUGAGUAGUUCAUUAUAAGUUAUUUUGGGAAUGGUUGCUGUGAGCCAGGUUCUUCAAGUUGACUGCAUGAGUUAGAAGUGGAAGUGUGGUUGUUAGCAGUAAAUUUUGAUUUUUCCUUUUUGGCUUUGCCAUGAUGUGACAUCUUCUUUUGUUUGUUUUUUCCCCAGUAUCAGGGAUUGAACCCAGGGGCACUUAACCACUGAGCCACAUCCGCAGUCCUUUUUCGUGUUUUAUUUAGAGACAGGGUCUCACUGAGUUGCUUAGGGCCUAACUAAGUUACUUAGGCUGGCUUUGAACUUGGAAUCCUUCUGCCUCAGCCUCCUGAGCUGCAUGCUCAGGUAUGCGCCACUGUGCCCAACUUGACUUUUAUUCUUGGCUAGCCAAAUUCAAUUACAGUUUGCCAGGUUUUCCAGUAACCCUUCUUAGAGAUCUGUGAUUGCCUCAUCUCCUUUAACAGUGAGUAUAAGAGAAUAAGCAAGAAAGAAAAGAAAGAUUUCAGCUAAGCUCAGUGGCACAUGCCUAUAAUCUCAGAUUUGAGAGGCUGAGGCAAGAGAAUCACAGGUUUGAGACCAGCUUCAGGAUUUUAGUGAAACUCUUAUCAAAACAUAAGUAGGGCUAGGGAUGUAACUCAGAGGUAAAGUGUCCUGGGUUCAAGUCCCAUUACCAGAAAUAAAAUAAAGGACAAAAAAUGCCCAUCCUCAAGUUUACCCUUUUUAUUUAUUUAUUUGGUACCAGGGAUUGAGCCCAGAGGCAUUUAACUAUUGAGUCACAUCCCCAGCUCUUUUUUAUAUUUUAUUUAGAGACAGGGUCUUACUGAGUUGCUUAGGGCCUUGCUAAAAUCGCUGAGGCUGGCUUGAAAUAACAAUUCUCUGCCUCAGCCACCUGUACUUUACCCUGUAAUUUAAGAAGAAAGUAAAAAUAAAAAACUGAUGGUAAUCCAGGUUGAAGAAAAGAUAAAGUUUUAAAAGAGAAUGGAUGAAUUUAAGCUGGGCAUGGUAGUGCAUGCCUGUAAUCUCAGCUACUUGGGAGGAUGAGGCAGGAGGAUUAAGAGUUCUAGCCCAAUUUGGGCAACAUAGCAAGAGCCUGUCUCAAAGAGGAUGAAAUGAAAACAACGUUUAGCAAACAGUUUUUGAAUGAUUUGAAAAACUUGGGUAAUAUUGCCAGAAGUAUGUUACUUAUUAUUAUAUUACUUAAUACUAUAUAUUUAGAAAUACAGAUAAUAUUCAGAAGUAGGGUGGAAAUGGAAGUAAAUCUUGAGCCUUAAGACUUGGGCGGGGGCUGGGAUUGUAGUUUGGUAGUAGAGCGCUUGUCUAGCAUGUGUGAGGCACUUGGGUUGGAUACUUGGCACCACAUAAAAAUAAGUAAAUAAAAUAAAGACUUGUAGGGGAAGCUAGGUACAGUGGUACAAGCUUGUAAUCCCAGGGGCUUAGGAGGCUGAAGCAGGAGGAUCACAAAUUCAAAGCCAGUAUUGGCAACUUAGCGAAACCCUGUGUCAAAAUAAAAAAUAUAAAGGGAUGAGGAUGUAGCUUAGUGGUUCAAUACCCAGUACCCCCCAAUAUAUGGGGGGCUGUUUUAUAUAUAUGAAUGACUUGUAGGGGAAAUUAAAGGAGAAACACUAGAUAGGAAGACAGCAAAAAGGAAAAGUACUGAAACUAUUACUAAGAAGAUAAGAAAUUUAAAAUUCAUAAAACAUUUCCAUUGAAAAGCUAUAGUAAUGAUUACAAGAAAGAAAAUAGAUCUAUAAAUAAUACUGCCCAAAGUAUUAAAGGACAGUAAGAAUAAAUUAAUGAAGUUUAUAAAUAUUAAUACCUAGAUAACAAUGUUUCACUAGCUUAUUAACCAUCUUAGCACAUGUUUUUGAAAUACCUUCUUCAUAUAAGUCCUUGAUGCACAAAAAAGAUUGCUGUAGAGAAUGUUAGCUGCACCUCAUGCCCCAUUCUCCUUAUCCUUCUCAGGGAAGGAGUUUACUCAGAAUGGGUAUUUUCUCUUUUAAUCCAUAUCUUGUCUGGCCUUUCAAAUAAGGUGCAAGUAAAAUUUUCUGAGAUAGAUAGUCUGACAUUACCAGAAGAUAGAAGAGAUUUGGCUUUUGGCCUGUGGUAGCCUGCUUUUUUCCCCCUUUCCUCUGUUUAAUGCUUUGAAAUAAGGUCUGGAGAUCAAUUGAAUCUUUGUAGUGUCUGUGAGCUAUCAGCUUCACUUUUCCUUUGCUCAUAGAUUUACAAAUACUGGUAAUCAAAUACUGGUUUUAGUGACUUUUGGUUAAAAGGAAUUUUGUAUGUUAAUACUUGAAGUACAAGUUUCUGUCAAAACCAAGAGAUAAAGCAAGUUAUUUCCUCAGUGUACAAAUAAGCUUCUAGCCUAGCCUGGCAUUUUAUUUUGUAAAAAUAAGUUCCACAAAUUAUAAAACCCAUCAAAAAAUAAAAUACCAUUUGAAGUAGUUUAUUUAUUGUAAGAGAAGAUUUGCCAAGAGAGUUAACCUCUGGUAACUGUUAUCUUGAAUGUGUGUAUAAAUGGGAUUACAGGGAGAUUGGAGCUUUUUGACAAAGGGUCUUAGAGCUGGCAUCAGAAUUUGGCAAUCUUUGCCUGCUUUUUCUGUUUCUAGAGAUGGGAAAGAGCUAAUGGAUUAUGGUUUUCACAGGAUGAAAGGUCCUUUAUAAUAAAUCUUUUUUGAAUUUUGUUUUGUAGGGGGGUACGUUAAAAGCAGUAAAAUCUUCCAAAGGAAAGAAGAAGAGAGAGAGCAUAGAGGGGAAAGAUGGCCGGAGGAGGAAAAAUGCUUCGGACUCUGGGUGUGACUCUGCAUCAAAGAAAUUAAAAGGAGACAGGGGUGAAGUAGACAGUAAUGGGAGCGAUGGAGGUGAGGCAAGCCGAGGGCCCUGGAAAGGAGGUAAUGCCAGUGGAGAGCCAGGGCUGGAUCAGAGAGCCAAGCAGCCACCAUCUACAUUUGUUCCCCAAAUUAACCGCAACAUUCGCUUUGCCACUUACACCAAAGAAAACGGCAGGACUCUGGUGGUACAGGAUGAGCCCGUAGGUGGGGACACACCUGUACCUUUCACUCCAUAUUCUACAGCCACAGGUCAGACACCUUUGGCCUCAGAGGUGGGUGGAGCCGAAAACAAAGAGUCAGGAAAAACACUGGAACAAGUUGGCCAGGGCAUGGUGGCUUCAGCAGUUGUGGUCACUUCCGCCAGCUCCACCCCAACCACGGUGAGGAUCUCAGACACUGGCCUUGCAGCAGGGACUGGGCCGGAAAAACAGAAAGGCAGCCGGUCACAGGCCUCAGGAGAGGUGAGUUGCUCUAGGGGCAGAUUUGCUAGAUUUGUGUUUACUCUCUCACCCUUCCUUAUUGUUAACACCUUCACAGACAUCUCAAAUGCCCUAAGGAAGGAAUAUUUCUGAGAUAUGCUUAAAUUAUAUUCUGUGGCUAGGCCUUUACUGCUCUCCUUGAGCAAAUGUGUACAUUUUAAUAACUUUAUCAGUUUUUAAAAGCCACUUGAACAUCUGGACUCAGCUGCGCAUACCUGUAAUCCCAUCAAUUUAGGAAUCAGAGGCAGGAGGAUUACAAGUUUAAAGCCAGCCUCAACAACUUAGUGAGGUCUUCUCUCAAAAUAAAAAUUGACUGGGAAUGUGGCUCAGUGGUUAAGUGCCCCUGGGUUCAAUCCCCAGUACAAAAAAAAAAAGUCACCUGAACAAUUGGGCUAAUCAAAAACUGGUUAUACAACCCAAUUUAAUGAGAUUUAAAAUAGAUCUGAUGGGGAAUCUUUUUAAUUCAAUUAUCUAUUUAGUUCACCAAGUAGUUGAACCUCCACCAAAUCUGAGAGGCAAGAUUAAUGAAUUAUAGUGUUGGUAAUAGUGAACACUAUAAUUAAGGCUGUGAGUCCAAGCUACCAUUACCCUAUUUUCAGUUCAUCAUUUUCUGUGAUAUUUUCCCUUGAGUCUAGGUUACUUUCCAUCGUUUAGUAUGGCCAUAAAAGUUUUUCCCUCACUAAUUUCAUUCUUUUAAUAAGCCUUACUUGAUGGAUUUAAUCAUAACAGUUAUUGCUUUGGUCUUUAUCUGAUAGGAUUUUUUUUUUUUUUUUUUUGCUAAAAUGGAACUUUUGUUAAAUGUAAGUUAAUGUCAAGUUGACACUGCAAUCCAAAUUUAAGACAGUAUCAAAAUCUAUUCUUUUGGUACUAGGGGCUGUGGCUCAAUGGUAGAGCGCUUGCCUGGUACGUGUGAGGCACUGGGUUUGAUCCUCAGCACCUCAUAAAAAUAAAAACUAAAAGCCAGGCAUGGUGUUGCAUGCCUGUAAUCCCAGCGGUUUGGGAGGCGGAGGCAGGAGAAUCACAAGUUCAUAGCCAGCCUCAGCAAUUCAGCAGGGCACUAAGCAACUCAAUGAGACCCCAUCUCUAAUAAAAAACAAAAUAGGGCUGGGGAUUUGGCUCAGUGGUCUAGUGCCCCUGAGUUCAAUCCCUGAUACCAUAAAUAAAUAAAUAAAUAUGGGGGGGGUUUUUGUCCGUCUACAACUAAAAAAAUAUAUAUUUAAAAAUUGAAUUUCUUACUGAUUUUGGUCACCAAACUGAUUCACAUAGGCCAACUCAAGCUAGAGUAUGAAGUGAAAAGAUGAAAUGCAUAAUGAUUUUUUUAAAGUACAUAAGCCAGCCAUGGAGGCACGUGCAUAUAGGCCCAGCUACUCAUGAGGCUGAGGCAGGAGGAUCAUUUUAGCCGAGGAAUUUGAGGCCAGCCUGGACAACAAUGAGACCCCAUCCAAAAAAAAAAAGCAAAAUAAUAUAUAGGAAACUACUGUGUGCUAAGUACUGUGCAUUAUAAAUAUUUUAAAUCACUACUUAAAGGAACCCACACACCAAAAUAGGAUAAUUUCAGGUAUAACAACACAGAUAAAGCAUGACAUAGGACUGGGUGAUAUGGUUUAAUAGAAAAAAAUCUUGCCUAGCAUGCAUGAGGCCUUGUGUUUGAUCACCAGCCCCACAAAGAACAAAACAAAGCAAACAAAAAACCCAUGGUAUAUAAAUUUCAUCUGACUAAUUCCUAAUUCUAGCAAAUACAAUGUGUUAACCCCUAAUAUAUAGGAAUAGAGAGCGAGAUGAAAUGCCUAGGUAAAAGAGGACUGUAAAUGCAAAUUUCACACUGUUUAUGAUUUUUUCCUCAGUUAGUUGACCUAUAGUCCCAAAAGAACCAGGUGAGGAUCAUAGAUGAGUUUCCAAUGUGUAAAAAAAAAAAAAAAAAAAUCUUCAUAAUUUCUGCACCAUUUAAAAUCAACUCUGUGUUAAGGCAGUAUGAAUGUAAAUGAGAAUUACAAAGUAAACCAAAUUUGUGACCUACAAGAAAAGAUCCAGUGAAUGUCACUGUUCUUGGAGUAGCAAAGCUGAUAGAUGAAAUGUGGAGUCAAUAUUUUUUUCAAAUAGGUUGUAGAAACUUCUGUGAAUAUCAUUUUGCUCAUGUUUUAGCCUCUUUCUGCAGUAUGAUUUAAAAUUACAGACAUGAAUGUUUCUGUUACAAUUCUUAAUCUGAAAUAGAGAAAUAGUUACCAGGACUUUCUUGCCCUAAAAGCUGGAGUUGAAAUCAGUUUGUCAUCGCUUUCUUAUAAGGAAAGGAUUUGGAAUUUGAUCAUUUAAAAGAAAAUGAAAGACCAUCCAAAUUAUUUUUCAUUCAUGUGUGUAUUUAUUUUUAAAGGAUAAUGUUAGUAGUAAAACAUGAGCUACUCGUGCAGGUUUCUUGCAGUCAUACAGAUGUCCAGGCUCUGAGCCAAUCCUGCUAGUGAAACAACAGCAAAAUCUCAGGGCUGUGUCAGUCUUAUUUUGGGUGGUGGGGGCAGGGGGGCAUCUUAAAUCAAUGCUUUUGUAGUUAGUAAGAAAAAAAAAUGAACUUUAAUUUUUUAACUCUAAAAUCUGUCAACAGAUGUCAACUGCAAGCAAGCCAUAGGAAGUGUCCCUGGUUCUUCUCCUUCUAUGUCACCUUUAAGGAUAUUUAGCAUUGUAUCAUUUUAAAAUGUAUGAUUCUUUGGCAUGUAGUACAUUCACCAUGUUAUAAAACCACUACCACUAUGAGAUCCAGAAAUUUUUCUCCUUUAAAAUAAAACCCCAUAUUCAUUCAGCAGUGAUGGAAUAAUUUUUUAUUUCCAAUGUUUACAAAUGAAUGUUUAGGUAUCAUUCUCUACUACUUGAAAGUUGGUUGGUGUUUUUGUUUUGUUUUGUUUUAGUUAAUCUACAUUUCAAGUCAAGUGCUAGGAUCUGAGUUUUAUUAAAUUAACGAGUACUACAUAAGGGCUCAUAGCUACCUAAGAGUGUCUCUGUGUGUGCAUAUGGGUACAUAAUGUAUAUGAAAGUGCCCCUACCCUUAUUUAUACAUAUAUUCAUUCACAUGCAGAAGUUAACAUGGGAAGCAUUAUAUAACAUUUUAUUUUCCAAUUUGUUAGGCUAAGUGUUUUUAUUUGGUGAAUAUUUCAGUAAUGUACAUUUUUCCUUUGGGGACUUUUGUUAGAUCAUAAUUAUAACAGAAGAUCUCAAUGGAUAGCUUUCUUUAUUUUAGCAUCUUUAGGAGUAAUAUUAAUUGCAAAUUUUAGGUAGAUUUAAACCAAUAAAUGGCCAGUUUCCAAAAGGAUCCUUUUGUGGAGUUUCAGAUUAAUAAAGAUACUUUUUCUUUAAUAAGUGGGCUUAUCAUAGAAGUGAAGUUACUUUCUAUAAGAUGAAGAUAUUUGCAAUAGCUUAAAUAAAUCAAAACUUUGUAGUUUCUAAGGUCAUUCAGAUAGAUUGAUAUUACAGAGGUCACUAGGUAAAUUUCAAAGUAAAAGCUGUCAUCAGGAAUCUUCCCACAGUUCCCUAACAGAGUCUCUGUUUUCAAAUACUGUAAAUACUAAAAAGCCUACACACCUUUCUAGAACUGACCCAUUGGGUAACAACUAAAGGAGAGGCAGGUUGAAUGACAUCUCUGGCUCAUCUUGCUAGAGUUAAAAUGCCCUCUGUGGUUUAUGGCAAGUUUUUUCCCUUCCAUUGCUGGUGAAAUCCAGAAGAGCAAAUAAGUAGAAUUGUAGGAGAGAAAAGUUGAUUGAUCAAUUGAUCAAUAAUAAAUAUUGAUUCAAUGAUAGGACAAGAAAGAGCUCAUUAGGUUGUCAUCUGAAGCCAGUGUCACUAAUUCAGGCUAUCUUCCUUUCAGAAUUCAAGAAAUUCUAUUCUGGCCUCUUCUGGAUUUGGAACAUCUCUCCCAAGUUUAUCACAACCAUUGACUUUUGGAAGUGGAAGGAGCCAGUCCAAUGGGGUUUUAGCUACAGAGAACAAACCUUUGGGCUUCUCUUUUGGCUGUAGCUCUGCUCCAGAGUCUCAGAAAGAUUCUGAUCUCUCCAAAAACUUGUUUUUUCAAUGCAUGUCCCAAACGUUACCCACCAGUAACUACUUCACUACGGUUUCAGAGAGUUUGGCUGAUGAUUCCUCUAGUCGGGACUCAUUCAAACAAAGCCUUGAGAGUCUGAGCUCAGGCCUGUGCAAAGGCAGAUCCACUCUUGGAGCAGACACUAAGCCAGGCUCUAAGGCUGGCAGCGCUGUGGACCGGAAAGUGCCUGCAGAGUCCAUGCCCACCCUUACUCCAGCCUUCCCCCGGAGCCUCCUAAAUACCCGCACCCCAGAGAGUCAUGAAAAUCUAUUUUUACAGCCCCCUAAACUGUCCCGAGAAGAGCCUUCUAACCCUUUCCUGGCAUUUGUGGAGAAAGUUGAACACAGUCCUUUCAGCAGCUUUGCAUCUCAGGCAUCAGGUAGCUCUUCCUCUGCUACCACUGUCACCUCCAAGGCAGCAACCGGCUGGCCCGAGCCUCACUCGUCUGCAGAUUCAGCAUCUUUAGCAAAGAAGAAAACCCUCUUCAUUACAACUGAUUCCUCCAAGCUGGUGUCUGGUGUUCUAGGCUCAACUCUUACCACUGGGGGUGCAAGCCUCUCUGCCAUGGGGAAUGGCCGCUCCAGCUCACCCACCAGUAGCCUCACCCAACCCAUUGAGAUGCCUACUCUCUCCUCAAGCCCCACAGAGGAGAGGCCAACUGUGGGACCUGGGCAACAGGACAAUCCCCUCCUCAAAACCUUUAGUAACGUCUUUGGCAGGCACUCGGGCUGCUUUCUGUCCUCCCCAGUAGAUUUUUCGCAGGAGAACAAAGCUCCUUUUGAAGCUGUGAAAAGGUUCUCACUGGAUGAGCGAAGCUUGGCUUGCAGACAGGACUCAGACUCUAGCACCAACAGUGACCUGUCAGAUUUGAGCGACUCAGAGGAACAGCUGCAGGCCAAGACAGGCCUGAAGGGGAUUCCAGAACACCUGAUGGGGAAGCUGGGCCCCAAUGGGGAGCGUAGUGCGGAGCUGUUGUUGGGCAAGGGCAAAGGGAAACAGGCCCCUAAAGGCCGACCUCGGACUGCACCCUUGAAAGGUGAUCCUGCUAGGGACUAUACGUGGGCUUUGCUCUGGCACUUGCCUCAAAAUGCUUGUGCUUUUGUGCGGCAGAUGCCUUCAUAUUGAUGGAAAGUUCUAGAAUCUUAUAGAAUUAUAGAGGCAAAGAACCUGGCAGAGGCACCUUAUCAAACUUGGUUGAAUCUAUACCAGCAAUGUAAAAGGGUUAUCUGCUCAUAAAAGAGGACUAUUCAUCUUCAUUAGCUUGUUGUUUUUAAUUAGAAACUAUAUGUCCUUGUGUUGAUUUCAUUCCUUUCUAUUUCAUCAUCUUUAAUUUGCUUCCAGGGAGUUACUAAGAAUUAGUUUUCAUUCCCAUAUUAGUUUUCAUCCCUUUGUAGACUUGAUGAAACAAAAAGAUUCACUCCCUUGGUUUGUUCCUCUCUGAAAUGUAAGGAUUUUUAACGCCUCUACCAAAAAUCUAUGAAUUUAUGAUGUGAGGUUAUGGUCUAGAAGUGUAUAAGAGAAAGUCUGGUGGUAAAAGUAGCUGCUUUCAUUAGGAAUUGAUAUCCUGUGAGAGCCCAAAAAGCCUAGAUUAACAGUAGGCAUAUACUGAGUGUCUAAGGGCAGGUGAUGACUACCUUCUGCUGCAUGAGGCACAUACAGUUCUCCUUAGCUCCCAACCAAAGCCUCUUUGUUCCUUGCUCUUCCUUUCUGGGUUCAUGGUAGAUUAUGUGCCCAAGCAGUGCAAAGAGGAAUAGCCCUUUGACCAGUGUUUGUUCACAUGAGGAGUUUGUUAGUGGACCCUACUUAUGCUUCUUCUGACAGCCUUUUCUCCUCCCUUCCUUGCCACAGUUGGCCAGUCAGUGCUGAAAGAUGUGAGCAAAGUGAAGAAGCUCAAGCAGUCUGGAGAGCCCUUUCUACAGGAUGGGUCAUGCAUCAAUGUGGCACCUCACCUGCACAAAUGUCGUGAGUGCCGCCUGGAGCGGUAUCGAAAGUUUAAAGAACAGGAACAAGAUGAUUCUACUGUAGCCUGCCGCUUCUUUCACUUCCGGAGGUACCUAAAUUCCUCUCCUUGCUGUCAUUCCCAGUUUUCACUAGUGCCAUAUAAUUCCCACUCUUUCUCUAAAUCUAUAAAUUUGUCUUUCUCAGUUUUCCAUAACCCCUAUGCUCACAGGGUGUAUGCUGAGGCUUUGUUGUAGUAAUUACUUAGUUGUUGGAAAAUUAUCCGUGGGUUGGUCCUUGCAGGAUUGAAGUGGAGCAGUUUUAGCUGCUGCCAUGUGCUAUUCCUACUAAGCUGUUCCUAAGUUGGGUUCCAUUUGAAACCAGUGGUAUAAGCAGAAGAACUUCAUUUUAUUUUGGGAAUCUGCCUGACCACUUCUUCUUCUUCAGUGCUAGGGUGACUUGAGUCACUUAAGAGAAGUAAGAUUAGGAGAUGAUGUGAAGCACAUUUCUUUUUAUUUUCUCUCUCUCUCCCUUUUUUUUUUUUUUUGAGAUGAGUUUUUACUAUGUUGCCCAGGCUAUCCCUGAACCUGUAGGCUCAAACAAUCCUCCUGCCUCCGCCUCCUGAGUGCUAGGACUAUAGGUGCAUGUUACCCACUUGGCUCAAUGGAGUAUUUUUAAAAUAGAGAUAACUAAUGAAAACAGCAAUAUCUAAUCACUUUUCCUCUUCCUCUAUGAGAAACUUAGGAUCUGUCAAGGCUGAUUUUGUUUUGUUUUUGUUUAUUUGGCAAUACUGGGGAUUUAACCUGGGGGAUGUGGAGCUACAUCCCCAGUCUCUUUUUGUUUUUUGUUUUGAGACAGGGUCUUGCUAAGUUGUUGAGGCUGGCCUAAACCCAUGAUCCUCUAACCUCAGCCUCCCGCGUCAUUGGGAUUACAGGCAUGCACCACCAUGCCCAGCUAAGAAUCUUUCAUUUUUAAAAUUAAAAAAUCCAAAUGGCUGCUGGGCACAGUGGUACACGCCUAUAAUCCCAAUGGCUCGGGAGGCUAAGACAGGAGGAUCGCGAGUUCAAAGCCAGCUUCAGCAAAAGUGAGGCACUAAGGCUCAGUGAGACCCUGUCUCUAAAUAAAAAAAAGAAAAGCUGCUGAUCAGGGCUUGAGGUGUAGCUCAGUGGUAAAACAUUUGCCUAGAUGAGAAAAAUGUGGGAGGACCUGGGGUUUGAUCCCCAGCACCACCAAAAAAUAAAAUAAAAUAAAUAAAGGCUUAUUGGUGUGGAUGACCUUAUUUGGCAAAUAUUUAUUGAGCAUUUAAUAUGUGCCAGUCAUUAUUCUGAACAUUAAGGAUUCAGUAGUGAACAAAACAUUACAUUCUGGUCUCAGAAAGUUUAGGGAGGAAUUAAAGAAGCAGACAGACAAUAAGAGGAAAAAUAAAUUAAGUAAAUAUUAUGUCAAUUAGUAACUUGAGAAAAAUAAAGACGGGAAAGAGGAUUGAAAUUUCGGUAAGCUAGAGAGGCUACUAUUUUAAACCAGGUGAUCUGAGAAAGAGCAGGUUAAGGAAUGACCUAUUAGAGGUGAAAGAAUAAAGCCACACAGUUGUUAUUCAGGAGACAAGUAUUCCAGACAAGUGCUGCCAUUCUGAGACUGGAAUAUUCUUGAUACAUCCAUAGAACUAGUAUAGCUAAAAUAGAGUAAGCAAGGGGAGUAAUAGAGUUGAGAUCAAAGAAUUAAUGAUGAGUCUAGACUUAAUAGGGCUACUCUAAGGGCCUUGAUUUUUACUGUAAAUAAGAUGUUAUUCAAAAAAACAAAAAAGAAGUCAUUAGAGGUUUUGAGCUGAUGAGUAACACUGAUUAAUGUCACUUUAAGUUGGGCAUGGUGGUGCACAUUAUAAUAAUAGCUACUUGGGAGGCUGAGGCAGGAGGAUCACAAGUUCAACUUGGACAACUUGCUGAGACCCUGUCUCAAAACAGAUAAUAAAGGACUAGGGUUGUAGCUCAGUGGUAAUACGCUCCUGGUUUCAAUUCCCAAUUACCACCCACUGCUUUGACUACCUUUGUGGGAAUAGACUAUAUAUGAGGGCAAGGGGAGAAGCACAGAGAAGUUGAGAGACUAUUGAAGGCAGAGUACUCAGAAUUACCUGAUAGGCUAAAUUUGAAAUUUGAAAGAAUUUCCAGCUGGAGAGAUUGAAAUAACAGUUGGAUCUACACCUUUAGAGUUAAGGGAAGAGAUUCAACCUGGAGAUACAAAUUUAGAUAUCACCAGGGAUUUAAAGCCCAUAGUCUAAUUUGAGACCUCAGGAGUCAGCAUGUAGAUAAAGACCAGAAGCAGGGCUAGGGUUGUAGCUUAGUGGUAGAGAUCUCGCCUAGCAUGCACAAGGCACUGGGUUUGAUCCUCAGCACCACAUAAAUGUAAAAUAAAGAUAUUGUGUCCAUCUAAAAAUUAAAAAUAAAAAAAGAGUCUUAGGACCAGAAGCAUUCUGAGAACUGAGCUCUGGCAUUCUCCAGAAAUGGGAAGUAUUAAAAGGAAUUAGUAAAGGGGACUGAGAAAAGACAGCCACUGAGGACAGAAAAACAGGAAGGUCGGGUGCAGUGGUACAUGCCUAUAAUCCUAGCGACUCAAGAGGCUGAGGCAGAAGGAUUUCAAGUUUGAAACCAACCUCAACAACUUAGGCCCUAGGCAACUCAGGGAGACCUGUCUCAAAAUUAAAAUUUUUAAAAAGGGCUGGGUAUGUGGCUCAGUGGUUAAGUUCCCCUGGGUUCAAUCCCUGGUACAAAAGAGGGAGAGAAAGAGUGAGACAACUGAAGAAAGCACUUCCAGAAAGGAAUAAGGAACUAUGUCAAAUGCUGGCAGGUUGUGUAAGGAAAGGACUGAAAGUGACCUUUUGAUAGCAAGAUGAAAUGACCUUGUCAAAAGUAGUUUUGGUAGUUUGGUAGGCAGAAUGUCUUAUUGUACUGGAUUAGGGAAAACAUAAAGGAAAGGAAAUGGUAGCAGACUUGAAGGAAACUUGGGUCUAACAAGCCAAAAAAAAUGGAGGAGGAUGUGAGGUUGAGAGUAUUUUUGUAAUGGUUAUUGUAGCACGUUUAAAUGCUGAUUUUGUAGAGCAUUAAUAAAUGAUAAUUGGAACCAGGCUUGGUGGUGCAUGCUUGCAAGCCCAGUGGCUCGGGAGGCUGAGACAGGAGGAUUGUAGGUUCAAAGCCAUCCUGUACAACAGCGUAAGACCCUGUAUCUAAAUAAAAUACAAAAUAGGGCUGUGGAUAUGAUUCAGUGUUCAAGUGCCCCAGAAAAAAAAAAAAGAUUGGUAGAGAAAAAGCUAGAUGAUAUAGAAAAGAGGGAAAUUAGUGGAGGAGUGCCUUUGGGUUGGGGAAAAGGGACGGGUGUAGGUGAAGAUAUUAACUUUCAAAUGGACCUCAUUCAGAGCAGGAGAUCAAAUGAAGAACAUGGGCCCAUUUGCAGGAGAGUAUCCACACUUUGGAAUGUGUGGGAUGGGAGCUUGUGAACAAUCUCUUCUGGCUUGUACCAGUAGAACAGGAAGUGAGGUUCUCACAGGGAAUGUAAUUUCAGAAGUAUGAAAAGAAGGAGAGUAUGAAAAUAGGCAUCUAGGAGAGAGAAUCCUCCUGAGGUAGGUAUACAGGAAUUUUAUUUAUUUAUUUUUUUUAGUUUUAUUUUUUGUGGUACUGUAGAUCAAACCCAGGGCCUCACACAUGGUAGAUAAGUACCCUACCACUAAGCUACAUCCCCAGCCCUAUACAUGAGUUUAAAAUGUGAUGAUGAUAUUUUAUUUUUUUCUAGUCACAUUCAGUGGCAUGGGUGCAGUUGUAGAACAGGGAGACAGAAAAACUGAUAAAACUGGUGACAGCUUUUUAAAGAAUCAAUACCUGCUAAGUGUUAAGCCUUCGUAUUAGCUGAGAACAUGUGCAGUUAGCCCUCCAUAUCUACUGGUUUCACAUCCACAGAUUUAACUAACUGUAGAUUGAAAACAUAUUUAAGAUUACAACUGUGCGUGUAUUAAACAUGUAAACACUCUUUUCUUUGUUAAUUAUUUCUUAAUAUAGUAUAAAAAUUAUUUACAUAGUGUUUACAUUAUAUUAAGUAUUGUAAGUGAUCUAGAGAUGACUUAAAGUAUAUGGGAGGACAUACAUAGAUUUUAUGCAAGUACUAUACCAUUUAAACAACCACAGGUUUUGGUAGCUGGGGCAGGGCAGGGAUGUGGCCUGAAAGCAAACCUCCUUGGAUCCCAAGGACAACGGUAUUUGACUGUCUUCUUUUUUCAGGUUGAUCUUCACUCGAAAAGGGGUGCUUCGUGUGGAGGGGUUUCUAAGCCCUCAGCAAAGUGACCCUGAUGCCAUGAACUUGUGGAUUCCUUCUUCCUCCCUAGCAGAAGGGAUAGACCUAGAGACCUCAAAAUACAUUCUGGCCAAUGUUGGGGACCAGUUCUGUCAGCUUGUAAUGUCUGAGAAGGAGGCCAUGAUGAUGGUGGAGCCACAUCGUAAGACAUUCUCUUGCUUGUUUCCAGAUACUUUUCAUUGUAAACUGUUUUCUUUCACUUAAAGGAGGGUUAAAGUGGAAGAUGGCAUUUUUCUGUGAAUGAAUUAAGACCAAUAAGUUUUCUUUUUGUAGUAACUAUAGCUGAGGCCUUAACUAUAUCCAGCAGACUUUAUUUUUUCAAGUCUUUGACAAUUAACCAAAAAAAACUUACCAAAAUAAUUUUAUCAUUUUAUAAUCCUACCAGCAAUGUAUAGAGGUUCCUUCCCUGCCUGUCAUUUUUUGUUACACAGGUGCCAUAAGACACAUUUGAAUCCCCAAUUUUAUUUUUAUUUUUUUUAUUUCAAGACAGCACCUUGCUACAUUGCUUAGGGCCUUGCUAAGUUGCUGAGGCUGGCCUCAAACUUGUAAUCCUCUUCCCUCAGCCUCCCAUAUUACUGGGAUUACAGGCAUGUACUGCCAUGCCCAGCUGGUUUAUCCUGAAUAUUUUUAGUUUGCUUUAAACAUAUUUGUAUUAAUAAGUAAUACUCUGGUUUGUGAAUAAAUGAGGUGGACCACCUACCAUAUUUAUACCUAGAACCCACAUAAUUAUUAAGACAUUUAUAGUAGUUCCAUAUCUAUAAGUUACUAUACACUAUCCCCAGACCAGGAAAGACUAUACAUGAAAUCAUGUCCUAAAUUUCAAGAGACAAAUCUUACUUAAAGCUUUCCCCAGGUUAAAAUUUUAUAGUGUCUUAAGUGACAACAUGUAGCAUUAACACCAGGCUAUCAUAACCUGGUAUUACCACAGACCUUUGAAAUGUUAGACAUUCCUCAUAUAUUUUUUUCUCCUCUUAAAAUUAUAGAAGCACAAACUUCAUCCGAGCACAGUGGCACAUGCCUGUAAUCCCAGCAGCUUGGGUAGCUGAGGGGCAAGGAGGAUCACAAGUUCAAGCCAGCCUCAGCAACGGCAAGGUGCUAAGAAAAUCAGUGAGACCCUGUCUCUAAAUAAAAUACAAAAAAUUAGGGCUGAGGGUGUGGCUCAGUAGUCAAGUACCCCUGAGUUCCAUCCCCAGUACUCCCUUCAAAAAAGAAAGAAACACAAACUUCAUGAAUAUUUGAGUUUUAUUACUAGACAGAAUGGUUUGAAUGGGGAUCAGCGAAUCAGGGUCUUUUGCUAGUGAUUAGGAUUAUCAGUGCCAACAUUAUUACUUUUUCUCUUUCCACCAGAGAAAGUUGCAUGGAAGCGAGCUGUGCGUGGUGUGCGGGAGAUGUGUGAUGUAUGUGAAACAACUCUUUUCAACAUCCAUUGGGUUUGUCGCAAAUGUGGAUUUGGGGUCUGCCUUGACUGCUACCGGCUCAGGAAAAGCCGUCCACGGAGUGGUAAGCAAAUAUUGUCUGAUAAAAUUCUAAAGGGAACCUUUAUGUAUCAGUUGAGUUGUGAAACUUGGAAAUUGAAGGAGUAAUCAGCUUGUACUGCUUAGUUCCAUUUGUCUUUGUUGUAAGACCUUAAAAUUUCCAAUGCUCAGUUUAUCUGGGAAGGCUAAAAAAAAAGCCAGGAAGGAUCAUUCCUCAUCUUUCCUUGUUCUGUUUGGUUUUAAAAAUAUCUUUAUUGAAGUAUAAUUCACACCAUAAAAUUUACCCUUUUAAAAUGUAUAAUUAAAUGAUUUAAAUCAUAAGAUUGUGCAACCAUCACCAUUAAUUCCAUUUAAUAUCUUUUAGGAGUCCAUUCACCAUUCCUACCUCCCCCGGCCUUGGCUACCACUAAUUUAAUUUCUAUCUGAAGGUUUGCCUAUUCUGGUCAUAUCAUGUAAAUGGAAUCAUAAAAUAUUUGAUCUUUUGUGACUGGCCUAUUAGCAUAAUGCUUUAAAGUUUCAUCCAUUUGUAGUUCUUCAGUCUUUUUUCUUUUUCAGUACUCAGGACUGAACUCAGAGCCCAUGAGUGCUAGUCAAGAGUUGUACUACUGAGCUACAUCUCCAGCCCUUAAUUUUUUUUUUUUUUGUAAAUUUUUUUUAUAGUAGUGGACACAAUACUUUAAUUUUAUUUUUAUGUGGUGCUGAGGAUCGAACCCAGUGCCUCACAUGUGCGAGGUGAGCGAUAUACCAACUGAGUUAUAACCCCAGCCCCUUAAUUCUUUUUUUGUAUUGCCAAGCAGUAUUCCAUUGUAUCAAUAUAGUACUAUAUUUUUUCUAUCAACUGAUGUACAUGUGGGUUGUUUUCACUUUUGGCUGCUAUGCAUAGUGCCACUGUAAACAUUUGUAUAUAAGUUUUUGUGUGGACAUAUGAGUUGUCUUGGUUAUACACCUAAAAGUGGAAUGACUGGGUCAUAGGAUAACUAUACAUUUAACCUUUUGAGUACCUGGACAUGGUGGCACACACCUAUAAGCCCAGCUACUUGGGAGCAGAAGUUGGUAGAUCUCAUUUUGAGGCCAGCCUAAGCAACAUAGCAAAACCACCUCUCAAAAAAUAAUAAUUGGCCAAGUAUAUUGGCACAUGUCUGUAAUAUUAGUAACUCAGGAGUCAGAGACAGGAGAAUUGCAAGUUCAAAGCCAGCCUCAGCAACUUAGGCCCUAAGCAACUCAGUGAGACCCUGUCUCUAAAUAAAAUGAAUAAAAUAAAAAUUGCUGGGAUGUUGUUCAGUGAUUAAGCACCCUAGCUCCAAUCUCUGGUACCAAAUUGAAAAAAAGAAAAGAAAACAGGAUAACAUAGAUAAAUCAGUUUCAAAUAUUGAGCAUUAGGCAGUGUGGGACUAUGAUACCUGAGAGAAGGGGAGAAUCGGUGGUUCCUGCAAUUGUCCUAGCUUAGUACCUAGGGCCAUUUUCCAGGCUGUAACCCUGGAAAGGGAACUAAAACGGAAUCUGGCAACCUCACUACAUUGAGACAGAGGUCAGAGUCUGAGAAGAAUAAGCGUAGGACUGAAGAGAAGGGAGCUGCAGAGAGAACAUGAGGAAUCUACAGAGGUCCCUUCAAUUUUUUGUCAUAUACUGAUCUGCACAUGCAUGAGAUGAAACUCCUCAAGGCCUAAGAAUGAACUUUUAGUAAACAACUGAGUAAUUUGUAGACCUUACAAUUUGCAUUCCCAUCAACCAGAGUUAAGGAGAUACUUGGUAGAGUCCAAAAGAAUAACACCUUAAUACUGGACUUAAUAUAGCGCCAGAAUGAAAACUUCUCUGGACCUGCCAUAGGAAAGUGUAAAACAAGCCUCAGAAGAAUCAAACUGACAUGCAAGUUACUUAACUACACUAGAUUAAAGCCCAACAUCUCUUUUUAAGAGAUUACAAUAAAAUCAGUGCCCAGAAACAUAAAAGUCACAAAUUCUUUAUUUAGUUUUAAUUAUCAGAUUUGUAAAACCUGGGCAUAGUGAUACGUGAUUGUAAUCCCAGCUAUGGCAGGAGGAUCACAAGUUUGGGACUAGUUGGACAACUUAGCUAGACCCUGUCUCAAAUUAAAAAAAAAAAAAAAAAAAAUUAAAAGGAUUUGGGUUGUAGCUCAAUGGUACUGGUGGGGAGAAUUCAUAUAAUUCAAAAGAAGUCAAGAAAAAUGAAACUAAAAUAAACUGUAACAAAUAGAAAACAGCUUUAUAGGAAACCUACUUUAAAUGUGAAGACACAGUUUAAAAGUAAAAAAGACGGAAAAUUAUAUCCAUGGCUAACAUGACUUUAAAGAAGUUAACUGUGAGUAUCAGACAAGGUACACUUUAAAGCAAAUAAAUAUUAGUAAGUAUAAUGUAGGUCAUUUCAUAAUAAUAAAGGAAGAGCAAAUAAAUAUUAGUAGGUAUAAUGUAGAAAUCAGUUCAUUGACAAGAAAAUAACAGAGCUGGGGUUGUAGCUCGGUGAAAUUAGACAACAUGCUGUAAAUAACCCGUAGGUCAAAAAACAAAUCACAAGAGAAAUUAGAAAAUGUUUGAAAUGAAUGAAAAUAAGAACAUCCACAUUGUGGUAUGCAGCUAAUGCGGGGAAUUUUAUCACUAAACGCCUAUAUUAGAAAUGUCUCAUUUGCCUAAAGAAACUAGAAAAAAUGAAAAUAUGCAGUUUACCAGUAUUAAGAAUGAGAUGAUGAGGGCUAGGGUUGUGGCUCAGUGGUAGAGUGCUCGCAUGCACAAGGCACCCGGUUCGAUCCUCAGCACCACAUAAAUGUAAAAUAAAGAUAUUGUAUCCACCUAAAGCUUAAGAAUAAAUAUUUUAAAAAAAUAUGAGAUGACCUCACCACUAAUCAAUCAGACAUUAGAAAGGAUAAUGAAUAAAAUUAUGAACUUUAUGUCAAUAGACUUGAUAAGAAAUAUAACAAAUUCCAUGAAAGAUACAAACCAUCUGAAUUCUCUUAAGAAGAAAUAGAUUACCUGAAUAACCUUAUUUUAAGCAGUUGAGGCUACUCACCUGUAUUUUAAGAAAUUAAGGCUAUUGGGGCUGGGGUUGUGGCUCAGUGGCAGAGAGCUUACCUAGCAUGUGUGAGGCACUGGGUUCAAUUCUCAGCACAGCGUAUCAAUAAAUAAAAAAUAAAAAUAAUAAAAGUCCAUUGACAACUAAAAAAAUAUUUUAAAAAAAGGAAAUUAAGGCUGAAAGUUCAAGGUCAAGCUGGGCAACUUAGGCCCUGUGAAACUUAGUGAGACCCUAUCUUUUUUUUUUUUUAAUAUUUAUUUCUUUUAGUUGUACACAAUGCCUUUAUUUUUAUUCAUUUAUUUUUAUGUGGUGCUGAGGAUCGAACCCAGGGCCUCACACAUGCCAGGCAAGCGCUCUACUGCUGAGCCACAACCCCAGCCCCAAGACCCUAUCUUAAAAUAAAAAAUAAAAAGGGGUGGUGAAUGUAGCUCAGUAAUAAAGCACCCCUGGGCUCAAUCCCAAGAGAGAGAAAAGAGGAAAUACAUUACCUGAAUAAACUUAUUUUAAGAAGUUGAAGCUACUUAGGAGGCUGAAACAGAAGGAUUGCCAAGUUCGAGGCCAGCCUGAGCAACCUAGCAAGACCCUGUCUCAAAAAUAAAAUGGGUCCCUAGGUUCAGUCCCAAGUAGUGAGUAAGGGAGGACAAAUGAAUUUGUAGUUUAAAAAAACUUCCAAUGAAGCCAGGCGUGGUGGCACAUGCCUAUAAUGCCAGCGUUGAGGGAGGCUGAGACAGGAGGAUCACAAGUUCAGAGCCAGCUCCAGUAACAGCGAAGUGCUAAACUAAACUCAAUGAGACACCCUGUCUCUAAAUAAAAUACAAAAUAAGGCUGGGAUAUGGCUCCGGGGUUGAGUGCCCCUGAAUUCAAUCCCUGGUACCCACCCCCACCAAAAAAAAAAAAAAAAAAAACUUCCAAUGAAGAAAACUUAUGGCCCAGAUGGUUUUACUGGUAAGUUAUAACAAACAUUUCAGAAGGAAAAUACUAUCAAUUGUACUCACACUCUUUCAGAAAAUAGGAGAAAACACUAACUCAUUUUAUGAUGUUAGCAUUACAACACAUUAAUACCACAACCAGAUGAAGAUAUAACAAGCAAGGAAACUUAGAGCCCCCAAUAUCUCUCAUGAGUAUAUAUUUAACAGUUAAAAAUCAAUCAAUGCAAUUUAUUAUCAGUAAACACUAAACAUAAUUAUUUCAAGAAAUGCAGGAAAAAAACAUUUCUCAAGAUUCUCAACAAACAGCAGUGGUCAUGGCCAAGUGGUUAAAGUGAUGGACUAGAUUCUCAACAAAUUAGGUCAUGUAUUCUCAAAUGGUGAGAAUUGGUUCUUUCAGGAGAAGGGGAAUCUAAGAAGUUACAGGUUGACUAACCCUAAUUCAAUACCCUUGAGACAAAAAUGUUUCCAAUUUUAGAUAUUUUUAAAAAACAUUUUGUAGUGUUUACCAUAGACCUUACAGAUUGAACAUUCCUAAUCUGAAAAUCUUGAAUCUGAGAGCUGGGAAUAUGUGGUAGAUCCUCGCGUAGUAUGCAUAAAGUCCUGGAUUUGAUUCCCAGCAUUGAAAAAAAAAAGAAAGAAAAAAAACCUCUGAAAGUCCAAGAAAUUUUGAGCACACAUAAAGUUUCAGAUAUGGUUGCUUAACAUGUAUGACAAUGGUUCAUGCCUGUCCAGAGGACCACAGUACAUAAGCAGACAUAUUGUAUAUGUGGUAUUAAAAUCGUAGGAUGGCAAGCACAGUUUAAAAAAAGAAAAAAAAAAGCUUAAAGGGGCUGGGGAUGUGGCUCAAGCGGUAGUGUGCUCGCCUGGCAUGCGUGCGGCCCGGGUUCGAUCCUCAGCACCACAUACAAAGAUGUUGUGUCCGCUGAAAACUAAAAAUAAAUAAAUAAAUAUUUAAAAAAAAAAAAGCUUAAAAAUGUUCUUUGAAAGGAUGAUAAAGUUAGAAAAACACUCCAGUGUCAGUAGGAGCAUCAUACAUAAUUGGAAAGACUGGAAAGCAAGGAUGUCCACUUUCAGAACUCCUUGUCAUCAUCAUUGUGCUGGAAUGAUUAGUAUAAAGAAAUAAAAGACAUAAGAUUGGAAAAAAGUAAAAUGAUUAAUCUCACAUGGAAUGAUUAUGCAGAAAAUCCUAAGAAAUGUAUAGAAAAGUCAACCUACAGAAAUCUGUUUAUCUUAUUUCUAUGUGAUGGCAGUCAACAUUUAGAAAUUGAAAUUUAAAUCAAUAUCACUUAGAAUAGCAUCAAAACAUGAAGUGAGCUGAGCACUGUGGUGCACACCUGUAAUCCCAGCGACUCAGGAAGCUGAAACUGGAGGAUCCCAAGUUCAAAGCCAGAUUCUGCAACUUAGCAAGACCCUGUCUCUAAAUAAAAUAUAAAAAGGUCUGGGGAUGUGGCUCAGUGGUUAAGCACCUCUAGGUUCAAUCCCUGGUACAAAAAAAAAAAAAACAAACAAACAUGAAAUGGGGCUGGGGUUGAGGCUGAGUGGUACAAUGCUUGCCUGAGGCCAAUCUCCAGCACCACACACAAAAAAAAAAAACACCUUAGGGAUAAAUGUAGCAUAUCCAUAGAAGACAUAGAAUACCUAAGUAAAUGGAGAUAUGUACUAUAUUCAUGUACAGAUUGAAUACAAAGAUGUCAGUUCUUCUAAAAUAAUGUAUAAUUGAAAACAAUUCAAAAUCAAAAACCCAGUGGGUGUUUUUGUAGAAAUUGAUAAACUGAUUCUAAAAUUUAUGUGAUGGAGAAUGAUAUUGGCUAAAUUAUAUUGAGUGCAUGUACAAAUUAUACACAAUGAAUCUCACCAUUGUGUAUAAUUAUAAUGUACUAAUAAAAAUAUGGGAAAGAAAUGACACAUAAAUAAAUAAGUAAAGUUUAAGUGAAAUGCCAUAGGGCAUGGAAUGGUGGUCCACACCUUUAAUCCCAGUGACUCGAGGCUGAAGCAGGAGAAUCACAACUUCAAAGCCAGCCUGGGUAACUUGUGGGACCCUGCCUCAAAAAAUAAAAAGGGUUGGGGAUGUAGCUCAGUGGUAAAAUGCCCGUGGGUUCAAUCCCCAGUACUGCCUAAAAUUGUAUGUGAAAUGCAAAACCUAGAAUAACCCAAACAAAAAAAGAAAAAACAGAGUUGAAGGAUUGUCCUGUGCUUCAUUCCAAGACUUGCCAUAAUGCUGUAAGUAAUCAUUAUAAAAAAUACUGUAAGUGGACUAUAGUCCUAAAUUUAAAGAUUAAGGUGAAGAAAGUAUUUGUGUUCUUGAGUUAGACAAAUAUUUCUCAGGACAUGAAAAGCAAAAAAAAAAGAAAAAAUUUAAUAUCAAAUUUUAAAACUUGUUCUUCAGGGGCUGGGGCAGUAGCUCAGUGGUAGAGUGCUCACCAGGCAUGCAUGAGGCACUGGGUUCGAUCCUCAGCCCUACAUAAAAAUAAACAAAAUAAAGGCAUUCUGUCCAUCUACAGCUAAAUAUAUAUAUAUAAAAGUUGACUUUAAAAAAAAAAAACUUGAUCUUCAGAAGACACUGUUAAGGAAAUUAAAUGAGACCACAGACUGGGAAAAAAUAUUUAUCAAUCAUAUUCACUAAAGAAUUUUGUCUGUAAUACCUAAAGACCUCUCACAGCACAAUAACAAGACAACCAAGUUUUAAAAUGAGCAAAAGAUCCAAAAAGGAAGAUCAAGGGGGCUGGUGGUAUUGGUGGAGUGCUUGCCUAGCAUGCACAAGACCCUGGGUUCAAUCCCUAGCACCACACACAAAAAAAAUCAACCCCACAGUAGUAGCUCACACCUGCAAAUUCCAGCUACUUAGAAGGCUGAGGCAGAGUAUGAUGAGUUCGAGGUCAACCUAGGCAAUCAUAUGAUCUAGCUUCACUCUCUUAGGUUGUUAACAAAAGAAAUGAAAACAUGCCUAUACAAAGACUUGUACAUGCAUGUCUAUAACCACUUAUCUCAUUAUAGCUUGGAAGCAAUUCAAAAGUCUACUAAAUGAUAAAUAGAUAAGGAAAUUGUUAUAUAUCUAUACUUUAGAAUACCACCCAAAGAGAAUGAAGAGCUAAGGAUAUAGUUCAGUGGUAGAGUGCUUGCUCAGCAUAUUCAAGGCCCUGGGUUCAACUUAAAAAAAAAAAAAAAGAAUUACUGGUACAAACAAUACAGAAAUACAGAUGAAUCUCAAAAGUGUAUGCUGAGUAAAACCCAACACAAGUGACUACAUCCUGUGUGCUUCCAUUCAUAUGAAAUUCUAAUAAUAUAAAACUUUAGUAUUAAAAAGUGGAUCAGUGAGGGGCUGAGGUUGUGGCUCAGUGGCAGAGCACUUGCCUUGCACAUGUGAGGCACUGGGUUCAAUCCUCAGCACCACAUAAAAAUAAAUAAGCAAAAUAAAGAUAUUGUGUCCACUUAUAACUAAAAAAAAAAAAAACUGGAUCAGUGGCCAGGUGCAGUGGCACACUCCUAUAAUCCCAUUGGCUUGGGAGGCUGAGGCAGGAGGAUUAGGAGUUCAAAGCCAGCCCCAGAAACUUAGCAAGACCUUAAACAACUUAGUGAGACCCUGUCACUAAAUAAAAUACAAAAUAGGGCUGAGGAUGUGGCUCAGUGGCUUGAGUUCCCCUGAGUUCAAUUCCCCAUACCCGCGCCCCCGCCCCCCCAAAAAAAAUAAAAAGGUAGGAAGGAAAAUGGAUCAGUAGAAGCUAAAAUUCAACAAAGAGUAUUAGCUCAAGAUAUAGGAUAAAAGUGUUCUGUAUCAUGAUUGUGACAGAGUUUGUACAACUGAAUGAAUGUUUGUUGAAACUCAUUGAGGCACACAUUUUAAAUUGUUGGUUUAUUUUAUAUAAAUUAUAUCAGAGUAAAGCAGGUGUUUUUAAAGUUAGCUGUUACCUUCUUUCACCAUGAGAAAAUUUACCUUUAAGUUUUUGAAGCUUUGUCUCACUAAGAGGGAUCCAUCUUGUGAGCCUAAUAAAAUAAAUGAAAUCAUUCGUUUCUGUUUCAGAGACAGAGGAGAUGGGUGAUGAAGAGGUUUUCUCCUGGUUAAAGUGUGCAAAGGGACAGUCACAUGAACCAGAGAAUCUCAUGCCCACACAGAUCAUCCCUGGCACAGGUAAGGAAAUUUCUUUUU